rnacentral:lncRNA from 1 species
ACAACAGGAUAGUGGAUAUCACGAGCUUCAUUUAUAAUUGUGUCACAUUCAAAUACUUUUAUCUUUUUAUUUACACCAGCUGUAGCGAAAAAUUCUCCAUCACGGUCAAAACUAAGAGAGCAGACUAGGUUUGAAGAGUUCAACAAAUCCCCUUGCUUCAGGUCAGCCUUCACUUUUAACUUACUAUAAGAUAGAUACUUGCACAAACCCUCCAGGAAUGGACUUAUCCAUCCACUUUGUCUACCCUUAAUAAACCGAUCCUUCAGUGCUAAACUAUUUAUGGAGCUUCUUUCAGUCACAACAAUGGAACCUCUCCCAUCACCACUUACUGGUGAAUUUCUAACAAAUGGUGGUUUCCCUGGUGGCCUGACUGGUCUGGAUCUUGUCAAAAAAUAUGCUGACUCUAAUUUCUUAAAGUUCUUCAUCAAUCGAGAACUUCUAAAAAGAGGACUUUCCUGUGAUUCUACAAAUGUAUCUGAGUUCCGACCUUCAUUGAGAUUAUCAUCACAUCCCUCUGUGUUGAGAAUCUGAAGACCUGAGCAAAAUCGUUUUCGGGAACCCAAGCUAGAAGAAUCGUCAAUAUCAUAAAUGUUCAGGGGAGGGAGAUUUGAUGCUAAAUGAUCACCCUCUCCUCUUUCUUUACAUGUGCUUCCCUUUUUCUUAAGAAAAGUUUGAUGCUUUGUGACUUCUUCAAUAUCAGAACAUAGAAGAGAAACAGUACCUUGCAACUUAUUAGCUGCAUCCUGCUUUCUUUGUUGCAUUGGUAAAAGGAAUUCCAGCAACAAUUCCUGCUCCUCUAUUCUCUCUCUAAGCUGUAUUGCUGCUUCACGCUCUUCCAAAUAGUCUCUUGGUUCAUUAAGAAACUCGCUUUGCAGCAAUUCUCUGUCAUACAAUACAUGAGAGUAAGACAAUGAAAAUUUGAUUGAACAGAAAUCAGAUGAAAUGUCAAUCAAAAAAGGUACUUUGCUCAGGGUGCAGUAACCAUAAGCACACAAUGUACUUGUUUGAAGACCUCGAAAAAACUCAUCCACAUAUUAAGGCAGAUGCUACCAUAAAAUGUAAAGUAAACAAAGGUGCAGGAAAUUAACAUUCACCCCAUUUUUGGCCGACUACUUGGCUCAGGGUGCAGUAACCAUAAGCAAAAUGAAGCUUCUUUUGGCCACUUGAGCAGCAAUUGAGGAGGAAGAACCCGAUGUCUGAGACUAGACAUAGUUCUGCUCUUGUCUUCCCUUGAAGUGAAUGGGCUGAACAGCUGUUCACAAGUAGAACUAUAUCACAUCAAUGUAGACAGUAAACAGCAGAAGCUCUUAAGACAUUAUUGCAGGCCAUUUAGAUAAUGAAGAACUUUCUGCUUGAAAUAGAAGUCAAAAGUUCAAAACACAUAUAAGAAAUGGUUUUGAAUCCACUCUAAUUUUGAUCGUUAACAUCAUAAAUGCAACAUUAUCAUUACGAACCUCGAAAAGAAGAACUCCCAAUUGGUAGAUGUCUGAAGCACAAGAGCUUGGUGAACCAGCAACCUCUUCAGGGCUGGUAUACCAACUGGACUCCAUCAGCAAUAUUUGCUUCAUUGGAAAUGGUUGUUUCCUUUCUUCUUCAUGUUCAACGUUCCUCGUACCAAGGACUUUAUUUUCUUCUGUUUCUUCCCCUAAUGGUAAAUCUGCUGCAUAAAGCGAGCUGGACUGCAUGCAACUGGCUUCCGAUAAAGCAUUUGUUGGAGUAGAUGCAGGUAGAAAAUCUUCACUUUGUAACCUACUUCUCUGCUGGCACAUGUCAUGGGAGAAAGAAGAAGCAUUUUUAACCUCCACAGUUUGUCUAUUCAAUCCAUCAUCCAAAGAAUCAGACCCAGAAUCCGAGUAAGAAGCGGACUCGAUGAAGGAGACAUGGUUAAAUGAUGACAUGACAAAGCAAGAAGGCCGGACAUUGUGAACAACAAUUCCCUGUGAAUGUGCCACAUUUACAAUUUCGACUAUUUGCCUAAAUAUGUGCAAACAUUCAAAUUCAUCAACAGACCGUUCUGGUUUGUUCAACCAAUGCCUCAAGCUAACAUCGUUCCACUCCAUGUUUUGGACAAAAUGGUCAACUGCAGCUUCAUCCUCACAAACCCCAGAUAAAGUACCAGCCUGGUUUUUUAGGUUUUGACGAGCCAGAACAACCCUAUCAGUCUCCUUUCUAAACCCAGAGUUGUAAGAUGCGGAUCUUAGAUUCCUGUUGGUGACUACUGAAGUAUUAAAUCCCCUAUAACUACCAGACUUCUGCCAAGCAGACUCAGAUGAGCCCUCCAUGGUUACCCCCCUUGGGCUGCAUGUAAGCCAGAACAAACGCAUCCAAGAAAUGGAGGAAUUCGCCUGCUACUACCACAUUCGCUAACUUCCACCAUUACCAUCUUCAAUCAAUACCUUAUUUCACAGAAAUAGCAAAAAGAACCUUGCUUCUGAUCAAGCCAAAGCUCAAUAACUCAGCUCCUCGAAUAAAAAUACUAACCCUUGCAGGGCAGCGGACACUAGAAAAUAAGAUGAAAUCUUUUAGCAAGCACACUUCUCCUGAGACAACCGCAACCAGCCUAACAUCAAUAAACCAAUAAGAAAAUUUAAAAAAAGUAGAGAAAAAUCAACACUUACAUUAUACCACACACAUUUUUCCUUUCCUUUCUUCAUCCACCGGAAUUAUAAAACUAAGUCCUCACACGUGCACUGUUCAACACCAAAACAACACAAGCACCAGCACAAAAAAAAAAAUCAAAGACAAGUACAAUAAUAUCCAGAAAAGGAGAGAAACUGAAGAUACCCUUUUUACAAUAUAGAAUUAGAAACACGUACCCAGAGGUUUCAUCAAAAAAACAACACAUGCAUCAGAACCAACAAAAGCCCACACACAAUAAUAUUAUAUACAGCCAUUUAAAAGAAGAGCUAGAGAGAAGGAGGGAGGGAUAAGUACCUGUAGCAGCACCAAGAAUGGAUAUUUCUGAUCCUGCUAGACCAAAAGAGAACCACACAACACAACAAGACUUUAGUUACUACACUCCACUAAACACUACAGCCUCAUAAAUUCCCUCAUUUUUCCCUCACAACUUCAAAAAUAAAAUCAAACAAAACCCCUCCACAAAAGAAAAAAUCAACAUGUUUCAAAUAAAAAAAGGAAAAAAAUACCUCUCUCUCUCUCUCUCUCUCUCAUGCUCUGUUUCACUCUAUAUAUUAUAUAGUUCUUCAUGAAAUUAUUAUGAUAUUCUUUCUUUUUUAAGCCACAAGCUCAUGGUUCGCUCUUUGGCUCAUCUCCCCGCUUUAUUCCAUUUGAGUUACGUGGCACCACCAUAGCCUCAACCUUGUUUGUUUAUUUCUUUGCAAAGAAGCCAAAAGGGAUGGUAAAUUUGAAAACUUUGUGGGCCAUCAGUGCCAAAAAAAAAAAAAAACUGUUCUUGAUGAAAAUAAAGAUCUUGGCUUUCUAGAAUUGGAAACUCAAGGUGAGAACAUGAAAAGCAAAUAAGAGCAUGCCUUACAGGUGUGAAUCAUUAAACUAAUCUGAUGAUGUGAUUCUUGUUAGAACAGCACGUAAGAAACAAUUAAGAAUACUAUAGUGGGCAGUUCUUGUUUCUUUAAUCCGAUUAGUGACACUAAAAAUAAUAUUUUACAAGAAACACUCACAUGAUAAAAAAGAAGCUAAUAAACUAUUGAUUAAUGUAAUGAAGCACAAACAAUGAAGCUAAAAAAAACAAAUAAUGGUGAUAAAAUCAACCUUAAAAUGUGGGUUUGAGUUUUGUGGGGCCCGGGCAUAAAAGUAUACAAGGAAGGAAGGGAAGAGGAUAAUAAUAAUAAUAAUUAAGGAUUGAUAAGAGAGGAUGUGGACUAGUGUCAGGUAGGACUAAUUAUUUUUGGUUUGGUUCGGUUUUUAUCUAUAAAAAUCAAUCAAAUCAUAAAAAAAUAGACCUGGAAUCAAACCGAAACCGGCCCAAACCGACCGGUUUCGAUUUGAUUUUUGCUAGCCAAAACCAAAAAACCUAUGUUAUUUUUUGGCUUUGUAAUGAGCUUCGUAAUUGGUUUUUAACGGAUUUCUGAUGGGCUUGCAAUUAAUGUUGAUAUUGUCUAAUUUUCAUUGAAGAUUCAAAAGCAUAUUUAAUUUUUUUACCACUAAAUAUUAAUUUGUAUUAAAUUGUUAUUGUCAAUCUUAUGUAUAUUGAGUUUUUUUACCACUGAAUAUUCAUUUAUAUGAAAUUAUUAAUGUCAAUCUUGUGUUCAAUAUAUUUUUUACCUUCCUAAUAUUUUUAUGCUUCUGAAAAGUUUAAAUAACACACUCACAAUCACACACCAAUAAGUUAAAAUUCAAAUUACAAAUCAUUGCCUUUAAAGGGCUUAAAGAAAAAAUAACAAAUAAAACUAUCAUAAAACACUCCAAGCCAAAAAAAAAAAAAUCUUCAUUUGCACAUCGUCUCAAUAAAAAAAAACUUCAAGACCAUUGCAUUUUGAUUCCUGAAAUUCAUAAUCUAGAAUUAUAACAUGAUAAAUUAAAUUAGAAAAUAAAAAAAAUAAUAUUUUUACCAUAUGUUUUCAAUAAAUGCAUCACAAUUUGUGAACUAAUUAUCAUCCGUUGCUAGAUGUAACUUUCCAUCAAAUUCUACAAAAUAAAAAAUUAAACAUGUUAGAAUAAAAAUGUGUUAAUUAUUAAUAAAUCAUAAAACAAAAGAUGUAAGUUUUUAAAAAACAUUACCUGAUCCAAGGUUUUUGUAGGUUUCAAAAUCAUUCAUCAAGGUUGUAUUAUCAAUUGGAAUUGGACCAUGAUGCAACCAAUUUUGACAACAAAUAAGUGUUUGAACUGUUGCUAGAGAUAGAGAACUUCGAAAUUGGUUGAGUAUACGACCACCUGUGCUAAAGGCUGAUUUAGAAGCCACUAUGGAUAUAAAAAUAGCCAGAACAUGUUGUGCAACUUUUGAAAGUAUCUUAUAUUUUGAAGAAACAUUAAUCUUCCACUAACCUAAAAUAUCUAAUUUAUCAUUAUUAGGAUCCUCACAACCAUCAACCAAAUACGUCUCAACCUCAUUUCUAUUUUUCACACUAUCUUCCUCCUGUAAGUGCCUUUUGAAUCGAGGUAAAGUGUUAACAUCUACCUCCACAUCAUCAAUAGCAUCAUUAACAUCUUAUUUAUGCCUAUUAUCAUCCACCACUUCAUCAGCUUUCAAAUAAAACUCAUACAAGCUCACCAAAUUAUCUUUCAUUUUUUUUUGUUAGCAAUUGUGCUUUGUUAUAAUCAUACAACUCACCAAAAAAAAAUUUCACAUAUGUUAACUUAAGACGUGGAUCCAAAACAUUAGCCACAUACAAUAAAAAAUUUUGAUUUGCUUCACAACCCCAAUACUUCUCAAACUUACUCAUCAUGUUCAUCGUCAUUCCACUCAAAAGAUUAUCUCUACUUUUACAUAAUUGCAACAAGUUUGUAUGCAUGUAAAUCAAUUCAUUGAAGAAUGAAUUUGAUGUGACAUGCAAUGAGCCAGAAAAUUUCAAUGUAAUCAUGUAAAAGAUCUUUAAAAACUUCAGCAAAGUUCUAACAUUUUUCCAAUCCUCCAAACUAGGUGGUCCUAUGUUUUUUUUAUUCUCCUUUGAAUCAACCUCCAAAAAGUAACUCAUAUACAUAGGUUCACUUUGACCUAACCUCACAAACACCUUUUCAAACUUUUCAGCAGCUUCUAGCAUAAGAUAAGUUGAAUUCCAUCGAGUUGCAACAUCCAAAUACAAUGAUUUCUUACACUCUAUAUGCAACUUUUCUGCACACUUCUUAAAUGCAAGUAGCCUAGAAGAUAAAGAUCUCACAAACCUAAUUGCAUUUCGAAUCUUAACAACCAAAACAUCAAUCUCUUUCAAACCAUCACACACAAUGAGGUUUACAAUGUGUGCACAACAUCUAACAUGCAAAUGUUCAUUUGACAAUAUAUUAGUUAGCCAAUCUUUCAUCACAUUCUUUAAAUAUAAAAUAGUAACACUAUUAGAGCUUACAUUGUCUACUGUAACAGUUAAAAGUUUAUCAAUCCCCCAAUCUAACAAACAAUUCUCAAUAACUUGACCAAUUGUUUCACUCAUAUGAUUGGAAACUUGACAAAAAUUCAGAAUUUUUUUAUGCAAAUUCCACUCACUAUCAAUCCAAUGAGUCGUUAAGGACAUAUAGUUAAUGUUUUGGAUUGAUGUCCAUGUAUAUGUUGUUAAGCAUAAUCGUUGACCCUUAAGAGCUCUCUUUAAUCUUUCCUUCUCUUCAACAUAAAGUUUUAAAUAAUCUCUCAUAAUAGUGAAACGAGAAGGAAUGUCAAAUCUAGGCUGCAAGGUCCUAAAAAAUAAUCUAAAUCCCUUACCCUCAACAAAAUUAAAAGGCAACUCAUCAAUUAUAACCAUUUUUACUAGUGCAUGUCUACAUUUAUCAUAAUCAUAACCUAUUGCCUUAAGAGUUCCCACACUUCGAUCUCCUGAUUCACCCCCCGCUUUAUUAGGUUCUAAUACCAAAAGUUUUUGCUUCUUAUCAACCACAAAAGGAAACUUUUUGUAUACUUUUAAAUGACUCCGCAUAUUACUUGUCCCAUUAAUAAUAGUAUGACAUGCAUAACCCUUUUCACAAUAAUUACAUUCAGCUCUAGGGAUUGUAGGAUCACCAUCAAGUUUGGUAAAAUGAUAUGCUUGGCAAUCAGACUAUAGUUUACCUCACCCCCACUCCCAUCAAAAUUCAAAUGAGAAGCAUGUUAUUCUGCAUAUGAUCUGCUUGGAAAACCGUAAAUAGAAGUGUUACCCCUGUUCAGGGAGCUAUUGCUACAUCAUACAACAUGUUUACUAUUUGCUAAGGAGCUUCACCAUUUAAAAAAAAAACAGUAAAACCUAUAUCAUCCAUUCAUUUCAGAAGCAGUGGAAUGGUAAGUGAUAUUAUCACACUACAAACCAGAACUAGGGCAUAAAACCAACACAGAUAAACAUAAAAAGGAAAUCUCAAAACUGAUAAAAAAAAUACUAAAUGAAUAACAUAAAAAAAAGCUGACCAAAAACUGGUAGAUGAUAUGGAAAAUGGAAAUGCAAGUUUUAGCUGCUAGAUUUCUAUGUUAUACUUAUUUCAGGUUUUAACUUAUAAUCAUAGGUUCUUUAGACAGCAGGUACAAAUUGUCGAAAAAGGUGUUUGACUCAUUUUUUAUUUUCUAUCAAUUCUUAAAAUUUGUGUCCAAGCUAAUUGACAGCUUCUGUAGAGCUUAUUUGAGUUAUUUUUGUUUUCAUUUUUUGCAGAUUAUGUUUUAUGAAGCCUUGAAAGAUUUGGCAGGUUAUCUUAAAGACUUAAACAUCAUUUUUCUUGUGAUGAAACUAAUUUCGUUCACAGAAUCACAGUAAUAAUAGCCAUGAGGAGACACAACACUAAGCAGGCAUGAAUAAACAUUGAACAUAAAAAAAAACCAAUACUAAAUACGGAUGAUUAUACACUAUCAAUAAUUAAAUAGAAAUUCCUAACAAAUUAGUAAAGCAAUUUGAUAAUCAGUAAUUUCAACAAUUUUUUUUUUCUAACAAUAUUGAAUCAAAGAAGGUCAGUAAUCAGUAUCCAAAUUAACUUGAAUAAUCUAAAAAACACAUGAAUAAAUUCUGACAUAUAUGAAACAACAAGCAGAAUGCCUUCAACAGAAUCAGCACAACAACUGUAUCCUUAUUCUUUGACCUCUACAUUGAAAAAAAAAACAAAUACAAUAAAUUAAAUAGAUGAUAAACAGAUAAAUCUAGGCAAAAUAUGAGCAGCCAUUAGUUAAUUAAUUAAAACGGAAAAAACAAAAUUAAAACUCACUGCUAUAGAACUUAUUCGGUUUCGGAGUAAUGGAGAUUGUGGAGUACCAUGUGAUAUUGUGUAGAUGAAGAGGAACGUCAAUCUAUUUAUGAGAGGCUUGACUGGUUUCAAAUGAUGGAAACACAAACUAUUUUGGAUCUGUGUAACCGUGUUUCUAUUUUCUAAGUCUAAAGAGACUAAAAAGGGAGAGGCGAGAGGGUGCGGGUGCUCUGGUUAGGGUUAGUGGCCAGGGAGAGGGGAGACGGUGAGGGCGAGGGAGAGUGUUACUAUGUUAGGGAAUUAGGGUUAGCGGAGAGAGGCGAGAGUGGCAUCGUUUUCUAUUUAUAUCGUCAACACAAAACACUGGUUAGAGACCUUUUUUUGAACCGGUUCGGUUCGGUCCGGGUUAACCGAUUCCUGCAUUACAAAACCGAACCGAAUCGGGAUUUUUUCUAACUAUUCUAAUCGGUUUAAUCAGUUUUUUUUCUCGGUUCGGUUUUUUUUUGCUCGGUUUAUUCGAUUUUCUGUUUUUUUUGCACACCUCUAGUGUCAGGUAAUCUAAAAGGAUGUUCGGCGCAGUUUUUGUUUUUAAAUGUUUUUAAAAAAACAAUUUAUUCAAAAAAAUAUUAAAUUAAUAUUUUUUAAUGUAUUAAUAAAAAAAUAAAAAUAAAAAUAUUUUAAUAAAUUUUCAAAAUAAAAUUAUUUUAAAAAAUACAUUACAUACCCAUCUCAAUUUGAUGUAAAAUUAGGAGCAAGCGAUUUUUUUAUUUUUUUUUUCAAUGUAAAAUUAGGAGCAUGCGAUCCUUCCUCAUAACAAUUAACAGUGGUAAUGUUUGUGGUCCCUACAUCUGGCGGCUAUUAGCACGAUACUAACCAAGUACUCGAAUUCGCUGCUGGGAGGAUUCCAUUCCAAUAACAUGCAAACAUUAUGAAUGCAUUUUCUAGAAUAAUUAAAAAAACAAAUUAGAAAUUAAGAAGUUAAUAUAUGCGACGAAUCACUUUUUUAUCGGUAUAUUUUUAUUAAAAAAUUUCGGAUAAAAAAUAAUUACAAAUAUAAUUUUUUAGGAAAACAAAGCUUGGCAUAAAUAAAUUCAGGAAAAAAGUUAUCAAUGUGAAAAUAAAAUUAAGAAGAAAAGUUAUAAUUAUAAUUGUUAAUAUAAAUUCAUUUUUUUUCUAUUAAUGCAUUUUUAAAAAAAUAUUUUUUUUUUGUUAUAUAUAUAUUGUUUAUUGCAUACAAACUGCAAGCAAUUAAAUUCAAUAUUUAAAAAAUAUUAAUGAUUUAAAAAAAUAUAUUAAAAAAAAUCUUUUUAAUAUUGCAUGGAAAGUGAAAGCAAUUAAAUUCAAUAUUUAAAAAAAAAUAUUUUAAUCAAAAUCUCUUUCCAUUAAAAGAUUUAAUGAUUUAAAAAAAAGACUUCUUUUUUACAAAUUUUUUUUAUAAGAAGUAAUGUUUUUUAAAUAAGAACUUAUUAUAAUCUUAAUAAUAAGUGUUAAUAAAAAAUAAUAAAUUUAUAAUUUUGACAUGAAUGUAUUAAAAAAUAAUAAUAAUAAUAAUAAUAAUAACAAACUUGAAAACAUAUAUAAAACAAAUAGAUAUUUCAUUUAUAUUUAGAAAAUCAUGCACAUUAAAUUUAUAUAUAAUUAUUCUGAGAUAAAUUAUUAAUAUUAUAAUAUAAUAUACUAAUAUUAUUUGAAAAUAAUGAUAUAAUUGGAUUAUUAUUUAAACAUCAUUUAAAUAAAUUUAUUUUAAAAUAAUCUAAUUAUAAAAUGCUAAAAGAGAUAAAAAAAAUACAAGGCUAAGCAAGCACGGGCUAGAAGAAUAAGCCUACAUGUUCGGCCUACAUGAAAACCUAUAGGUUCUGGGGUCUAGAAACUCAAGUUCGCAUGUCUGAUUUUUCUAAAAAAAAACACGAUGUUCACUUUUAUUUUUAAAAAAUUAGACAAAAAAUAUGUUUUUUGACAGUCAAAUUACACAUUAUUUGUCUACUAUUUUUUCUAGUCAUAAAAAAUGUCUUCGUGAUUGAAAAAUUAGGAUUCAAAAACUUGAACCCCAAAAACCUAGAAUCCAACCAUUUUCCAUCCAAAAAUAUAAAGAAAAAAAAACAUUUAAUGAACCUCCAUUACCUCGAUUUUAAUAAUAAAAUAUAUUUUAAUUAGUUUAAAAAUUCUAAAUUAAAUCAAAUUAAAAAAAAAAAACUCAUGCACUGAAAAUGGCCACGCUUCUUAGGGUUUGGACUAGGAUUUGAGACUCAUGGUUUCUUGUUGGUCCACUUUGAGUAUGAGUUCUCAUAUUUUGUAGCUUCCCUUCCCUUGAACAUUCAUUCUUGGUAAAACAUGUCAUGAAUUUAUAUAAUAAAAACAAUUUUUAUUUUUUAUUUUAUUUUUUAUCUGUCACGUAACUAAGUUUCAUCCUCUUUCUCGUCUCGUCCGUUCACCAAACGCCUCCAUGGUUAUUUCCAUGAUCAAUAAUCCAUUGUCUUUUAAACAACCAUUAAUUUUAUUUGUGGUGGGCAGUUACUGCUAAACAUUCAGUGAACUUGAAAUGUGUUUUCAAGUUUAAGUUUAUUUAGGCCGUCUCUGGACCACUGGUCCACCUUCCUAAAUAUAGACCAAAUUAACAUGAUGUGAAGAACAGAUCCCAUUGUGAACAUGAUAAUCAAAUCCACUUUGAAGGUCCCCCUCAAAGUUUUGUGAUUUUCGAUAAGAUUCCCAGUAGAUGCACAGAAACCCAGAAACCCACAUACAUUUCAUCAAGAAAUACCUUAGAAAGGUCUAGAGGAACAUUAAUCAGUGGCCUCACUGUGUGUGUGUGUGAAGGAGCCAUGGUUACGCUCAACUCUUGGAAAGACCAAUUAGUCUUGCUUCGAUCGUUCUUUGCAUAAGACCAAUAUCCGGCUUCCUUGGCAACCAAAGAAGAGAGUGCGCGUUCAUGACAUGUUUAUCAUUAAUAUCAUUGAAUUCUUGAACGUCGAAUUCAAUGCCUAAAACAUGGUUGUUGGGGGUAACCAUCAUUGGUGCUGUUCAAGAAACCAAGAUGCCGUUGUCAAGAGGCACCUUCAAUACCUAGAGAAGGCACGAGAAUGAAUGCAAAACCAUGACCAGGGGGGGAAUUGUUGUAAGGGGUGAUGGAGAAGGUGAAAGAGGACGAGAAUGACAGGAGCUUUGAGGAGUUCGGGUAUCUUAUGGGAAUCCUUGUAGAGGCCUCUACCACCAGAAAAUGUGAUGUCUCCGGUGAGGGAAAGCGUGCCAGAUUGUAGCUCUGCAGUGCCAUAAAGUAACAAGCUCGAAGAGCUGAAACUGUAACUCGACUGCUAUUGUAAAUUGGAGAAAGGAGUUAUUUAAGAAGAAUAGUAGCACAUGGUGGAGCCCGAAGCUUCAAGAACUGGGUUCGUUACUGUCAAGUGCCAUCCAUCACCGGUCUUGUAAUUGCAACUUAGUGCAUGCACCUCCUUGUUUUGGAAGGAUAAUAACGCACUCAGCAGAUACUCUACAUCUUGGGUAUGGUGGAUGCAACAUUUGUCUUUCCACACCGUGGAAUAAUUUCACAUCAUCCAGAUACUCUACAUCUUAUGGCUAAUACAAAUGCUCUCCAAGAAUGGUCAAUAAUUUUGAGAUUGCAGUGAUAGUGGAAAGUAAAUACAUGUGAUAAAUUGCAGAGGGGAGAUUUAUCAGUGAGCUAUAAUCUUGUAGCUAAAAUGGCCACUAGCUAUCUUUCUAAGAACAUAUACAAAAACCCCAACCAACGGUUUUUAACUCAUAUUUCACAUAAGGAAACCACCAAUCAAAUUACUCUUAAGAGUCCCAGCAAUACUUCUCAUGUGGGGCUUACCUCAUCGACCUGAAACAAAUAAUGAAUUGGCUGAUAUUUGGUAGCUUUCAGCCUGGACUUUUCUAACCCUUGCCUUGUCAAAGCGUGCUCGUCUAACAGCUUCUUGGAUCUGGCGAUCAUGAUCCUUCAGCAUCUGAUCCAUGUUCCCCGAUGGAACUAUCAAUGGACCAGAAUAGUGGAUUUUGUGAGCCUUUGACCCAUAGCCAAGCUGGAUCCAAAUUAACAAGAACCAUGAAUCAGGAAACACACAAAAAAAAGGCUCCUCAGAAUUCAGGAAACAUGAAAUUGUAAAUCAAUCAACUUAGAAAAGACGGUUUAUAAACAACUUGCAUGAUAUGAUGCAGACCAGGACAAAGCAGCCAAGUGGUUAAAAAAUUCACUGAAAGGUUAAGCAAAAAAGCAAAAAAAAAUAAACAAACAACGAAAUAAAAGAAAACUGAAUUGUGAAGUGACUUACAAGGACAGGAUCUUUACUGUUAUUUCUCCCAUCUUCCUUUUGGUGGGAACCUGCAACACCCUGUGACAGACGCUGUGGAUCCUGUUGGGCAAAGGAUUCUGAGGUUUCCUUGAAGGAUCCUGGAAACCGUGCCAUUAGUUUUGGAACUUCCGGUUGUGAUAGGCCAGACCUUUCUCUGUGAUCUUCAGAUAAUAAACUCCUCCGCGCCGCCUCUAAGCUUGAAAUUGUUGACAGGUCAGCCCCCGUGUAAAUCUUAGGAGCAUCAUCGGGGUUUCUGCCAGCCUUUGCCCAUCCAGAACGGUGAGACAGUGGCCCAGAAUGUGAGGCUCUCUUAUGCUGAUGACCCUGAGGAUCCAUGUUUGAUUCUGCAGCUUGUGAUGGUCUAGGGGGAUCAAUUGGAAAGCCAGAAGCAACUUCCUCAGGAUGGGGAUUAAACUUCUCACUCCGGCUCUUGGAAUUUGGACGACCAUGUCUUUUCUGUAAUUAGAGCGCAAUCCAUUGAUAUAAAUUUCAUUAGUAAAAUCAAAUUUAAUCAAAUGGAGUGCCAAAAAAUAAAGGGAGUCAACAGUAAAAGAGAUAAUUCAUGAAAAUAGAACAGCAAGAAACAAUCAAUUGUUUAGGUAAUAAUGCUUAAAAGAGGGCUGGAGCAGCUCAAAAGGACAGUAGUCAGAUGUAGUUUGAUAAAAAAAAAAAGUAUGACUUGCUGCUUUCAAGGCAUAAGGAAGAUGGAGAGUGCGAGAGAGAGGACAAAAGAAAGAAACUAGAUAAGAUUUCUUGUGUCUCACAAAGUGCCUUUUGUACAAAGCUGUUUUCUGUAGUGGAGAAUUGCAAUUUCCAUGUGAUCAGAAUGGCAAGAUGGCACAUUACUUUAUACUUCAUUGUUCUGAGAAGAGUGCAAUAAGAAGUGUUCUAAGACUUCGUGUUAUGACUGGCUUGUUUACUAGUUUCAUCUAUAACAGAGCUAGCUUUAAAAAUAACUUCCUUUCUCUUCUGACCAAUCUUUCAACUCAGCAAUUCUCUGAACCUCACCACAUGGCCCAGCAAGCCUACAUACCCAUCUCCUAAUCACAAUACUUCCCCAACCGCACACACACACAUGCAAAAAAGUGUCCUGAGAGAGCUAAGGUUAUCUUAAAGAAAUCACCUGCAUUGAUAAAACUAGCUCAGCAUUGGCAUCAGGUGCUGGAACAGCUCGAGAUUCUCUUUGCCCUCUUCUUUCCAUGUCAGGUUUCUGGCCCUUGCUUCCUGCUGCUCCUUGUCUGUUUGUGUGAACAAAAAAUGGGAUUGUUAGCAAACUACACUACAUUUACAAGUCAAGGAUUCCAUCAGUGAUAGAAGCACGAAGGAUAGUUUAGUGGAUCAGUAAGAAACACACAAUAAGCAAUAUGAGCAAGGGCACUAAGGCAACUGUCACAACCAAAAUACAAAAUUAUGUAAACAGACACUGCAUUCAUCUGAUUCAAAUUGAUUCCUACUUCAACUAUUUUUUCUCUUUUCUCAACUAGUGCACGCAACUUCUAUAUUUUAACAAUGCCAUUAACUGCGGCCAACAUGCCAAAAACGAAAUCUUUUAAAGCUUUUUUUCCGGGCCUUUGCCAGAAGCCUUCCAACAAAAGAUUAAAUGAACAAUAAAUUGGAGAAAAACUUUUUUUCUGUUCUUUUACAAUGUUUACCUUCUAGCUUCUUCAUCUCGCAUUUUUGCAUCAAACUCUUUGCUAGGAGGAUAAUCAGGCAAACUUGAAGGAUCACAAGGAAGCGGCUUGGUCGUAAAGAACUUUAAACAAAACUAAACAAGUCAAAUACAAAUUAACAGAAAGCAAGAGAGAGAAUUGUAAAAUAGAACUAUAAAUACUAGAGCCAACCUCAGCCAGCCAUGAAGAUUAUACUCAUCUUAUGAUUUAUUUAUUUGUCUAAAAAGAAAAGGUUAAAUGAACACUUGCUACCAACUGCUUUGGACCAAUAUGUUACAUUAAAUGGAUGGUAUUUCUCCAAAAUUAUGUUAAGAUUACAAAAAAAAUAGCUGUGCUGCAUAAGAAGCUAUAAUAUCAAAUAAGGAACUCAAAAAUAAAAAUAUACGAUCAGUUACCAGAGCUACAUCAAAAAGGUUGACAAAUUGCAUGGUGAAAAGAAAACACAAAAAGAACAUACACACUCUUGUACAAGAUGCAGUUUUUUUUUCAAAGAACAUGUUACAUAGAAGGAAGCAUAGGGAAAUGAAGGACGGUUCUCUUUUAAUUGAUCACAGAAAAAAGAAGACAUACACAAAAAGAAGAAAUAACAUAUAUAAGAAAACAUACACAGAAAGAAAACAUCACAGAAAAAAUAAAUAUAUAAGAUCAGUUAACUGAGCUACGUCAAAAAGGUUGACAAAUAGCAAGGUGAAAAGAAAACACAAAAAGAACAUGCACACUCUUGUAUAAGAUGCAAUUUUUUUUUUCAAAGAGCAUGUUACAUAGAAGGAAGCAUAGGGAAAUGAAGGACAGUUCUCUUUUAAUUGAUCACAGAAAAAAGAAAACACUCAUCAACCACCAACUAAAAUUCAAAACUGUUCAUGGUUGUCGAAAAUUCACAAACUAAAUGUGAUACACCAAAAUAUACAAAGUGCAUAAAAGAGUGAAAUUGUAGGAGUCUUCGAGUGAGAUCAAGGGACAGAAAAUAAAUCCUAAAAGCAACACAGCAUUUGGCGACAGAUUAUUGAUGAAAACUCAACCCCGUAUAGUUGCAGGCUAGCAGUGACAAAAUGUGAUUAACAGAAACACAAUCACCAUUGAGAAAACUGGGCUUGGGUGCUUUUGUGAAGAAACAAAGUGGAAUGAAUCAAAGGAGCAGCCACAAAAGUUUGGUAAAGUUGAUUAGUUGUGGAAAAAUACAAUGAAGCAUAAUAGAGAGAUCUGAAACCUAAUAUAUGCAACGAGAUGGCUAAAGACCUGUCACAAUCUAAACCCCUUAUGAUACAACUUCAGAGUGGUGUGAAUUGCCUGCUAUUGUGUCUUUGCUGAUGGCACCAGGUGAACUUGAAUGUUUAACAGGAUUUACCUCCGUCCAAUUACAUAAACACAAACUCUUCCAGUGACUUUUAGAUUGCAACAACAUGGUAUCACAUGAGUUGGAAGGAAAACAGACUUCAGUCUCAAAAUGUAUUUCAGUGACAAUAAUAACAAAAAUCCUAGACAAAAUUAUUAGAAAGAUCGAAUUAAAAAUGAAAGAAAUGUUAAUGAGUGAUUUACUUAUUAGGUAAAAAGAAUUGAAAUAUAUGCACUAUCAUGUGUAGCAAUAUAGAUCUUCUAAUUGAAGCCAAUAUGUAUCUCUGAAUCAAAAAAUACCAAGAAGACCAUAAACCACUUUCCAAUGUAACACCAAAUCCCCCCACCCCCAAAGGGACAAAAAACACUCACAAAAAGGGAAGGGGAAUUUGAGAUACAUAGUUCAUGGAUACCUCAUACCUCACUCCUCAGAGCAGAAGCUGCAGAUCCACGAUCUACAGGAUCAAUGGCGAGCAGGGUCUCCAUAAGAGCUAAAGCUGGUGCUGGGAAUUCCUUAAAUGUUUCUGCAACACAGCGUCUAUAAGGCUGCUGAGGCUUAAAGAUAGUCGCAUGAGGCAACUUUGAUUUUCUCCAAUAAUCUUCAGAAGGUGAGCCACACAGCUUGAAAAUUUUAUGCAGCUGCUCCACCUACAAGGCAGAGGCAUGCAAACUAAUCAUCAACAUUUUAAGUAGCUGCACUAAUGUUUUUUAUGACACUUACAUAGAUUAUAAGAAAGCAGAAAAGGGAUACGGCAUCUUGUGAUAAUUAUUCUCUCUUUCAAUCUUUUCUUUUUGAUAAAUCCUUUUUCUUUUUCAUAUUAUAAGAAUUUUGCAAAAGGAUAAAGAAAUUCAGACAUAUCAGACUCUGUUAGGUCUUUGCUUGAGGUCUCUUUUUAAAUAAACUUUUACAAUAGCUUGCAACACUGCUAAAACAUAUUCUUACUCGAGUUCCCUUAUUUUUACCUUUGACCAAAUUUAUAGAAAAAAUAAGGCACCCUCCAAGGUUAAAGUAAACAUCAAGACACGGUUACCUAUGAUCAACACCCAUGAUUUGUCAAAGGUGAGAACUCAUAAGGUAUUAUCACCUAGUGUUUGUGUUAAGUGUUAUAGUAGUAGAAAGUGCAUGACUAUGUUUCUUGCAUUGCCCAACAGCUUGGAAUGUGGAGUUGAGUUUCUAAAUGCUGAAAAGAAUUAGGCACUUCUGCGUAGGGUGGAGAAGAUGUUAAUGAUCCAUUUAGUGGGUUUUUUGCUGACAGGAUGUAAUUCGACAAUCUUCAAAGCAAUAACUAUCUAGAAGUUAGCACGGGAUAAAAUUUGUAUCUGGCAAUAAUUAGUUCAACAUUGUACUUGGAAUGAUGGCCCAUGAAAAAUAAUCUGCAUUGCAGUAUAUUAUAACAUGAAAUAGCAAGCAUCUAAGAGAAACACUCUGUUUGGUGGAGAACCCUAAAAGACAUUUUUUUUUCUCGAGAAUAGAAAAGGAGAGCACCUCAGUUCUCCCUGGCAUAAUAGGCUUGCCAGCAUACAAUUCCGCAAGUAUGCAACCUGUACUCCAUAAAUCAACAGCUAUCCCAUAGUAGGUAGCUCCAAGUAGAAGCUCUGGAGGACGGUACCAAAGAGUCACUACUCGGCUUGUCAGUGGCUGAACCUGGGCAGGAUCAUAAAAACUUGCUAGUCCAAAGUCUGCAAUUUUCAAGAUACCAUUGUUGUCAAUUAAUAGGUUGGAACCCUUUAUAUCACGGUGUAGAACACCACGGCUGUGACAGUGAUCAAGUCCUCGUAAAAGUUGUUGCAUGUAACAUUUCACCUGCCAGCAUAUACAUAUUAGACCACAACAUCCAAAGCAUACAAGCAUGAGUCAAAUAUCAAACCUGUUCUACCUUUUAAGAUUGACAAUUUACACAUGGAUGAUCUUGGAGGAUAAGGAGCAUGUAAAACUAGCAGAUGUUAACAAUAAAAUACGUAUGAAUUUCAUAGUUAGCAGCUGAUAGCCUGUCACGGCAAAAUGCAAACACCCAUUGAAUUAGAAUCUAUUAGAACCAAACUGCCAAAAUUACCUGGGCUUCUGUAAAAUUCAGACCAGGGUGUGAGGCAAGCCCAGCCAAAUCAUGCUCCAUGUACUCAAACACAAGGUACAAGCUGCAUGACAUCCUUGAUGUAACUAGGCCUUCUAACUUUAUUACAUUAGGAUGGUCAAGCCUGCGCAAGAUGUGAAUUUCCCUGGCCAUGAAGCGAACACUCUCAGGUUCCAGGUUAUCAAACCUUACUUUCUUCAAAGCAACAAUCUUCUUCUGAUCAAGGUCACGAGCCCUAUAAACAUUACUGUAGGUUCCCUGGCCAAUCUGCAUUAUAAUAGAAAUCAUCAGAUGAGGGAACCAAAUCCCAAAAGCAGGUCAUUUCAGUUCAAAGAGGACAGCAGCAGAUAAAAAUAACAGGGCAAACCAUUCUACAAGAACUUGUGGGACCUGAAUAGAAUGAUCUGCUGUUGUCAACUACUCAAAAAUUAUACACAAAAAAGUGCAAAUAGAAGUCCAUGAUAUCCAAACAAGAAAUGCUCAACAGCAAACCUGGCCCCUUGGCCCUAGCUUAAAGAGUAAGAAAAUAGUAAAAUACAAUGGUCAGGGACACAGGAUACAGAUUUGCACAUUCAGACCAGCCUAUUCAUGCAAAUCGCUUCAUCCUUCAAGACUAGAAGUUUGAAAAAAUUCAGCCAAAUUAACCAAAACGGAAUACCAAAAGCAGGGAGCAGGAAAUUCCAGCUACUGAAGUUGUUAACAAGCAUCCAUUUCUUGAAUUAUGCGGUAAAAUUAACAAUACAUGUUCAACUAAAAGUUAUAAGCUAUCUGUCCAUAUAAUAGCAGCUCCCUCACACAUCUUUAAAUGCUAUUGUAAAAUUUAAGUUUUUUUCUUUAGGUGAGAGGGGCAAGACAUGAACUCGAGAUCCUGCCGCCUCUCCCCUGAUUCUUGUGGAUUAGAGCUUUUGGGCUAAACUAUCUCAACAAAAUUGAAAAAGACCUGUUACAAACAAUGUUGAUACAUAGCACUCAUCUUCAUGGACCCAACUACAAUUCAGAUAUCACAUACACACAAUGCAAGUUGAAGAUUAUACCACACUUUUAAUAUUCUGCACUUUGUUUACUGUUCUUCCCCCACCAUAUUUGUUUCAAAGUUCCCUCCUUCCUCAGCACACUAACGCUAAUUGACUGGCAGCUUAUCAAAAUUGGAUUCAUUUUAGACCCAUUGUAUCUAUUUUGAUGGAUAAUUAUCUAAAUGUUAUGGGUAUUCCACUAACUAUAAUAAAAAGGGCACAUUAUCAAAGAAUGGUGCUUCUCGAAUAUUCCCCAAUACUAAAUAGCUCUUAAAUUCUCUUAAUAGCCUCUUACAUUUUCUCAAAGCUCUUGGACUCGAACAUGGAUACUUCCUAUUUUCUGAUAUGGUAAUCUCUCUAACCAAAUAAAAAGGUCUAACUACAAGAAAAUCAUUCAAACCUUUAAAGCAUCACUAAUUCCUACACUGUGAUUGCAGAAACAUGGAUCUUUCUCUGGUGUAAUCAGUAUAAGCCAUUCAAAUUCAAACUCUUUCAUAUCCAUACUGUCUCAAGCCUCUCAAAACUCUAUGCUUCUCAAGCCUCCAGGCUCUGACAAGUAAACUGAACUUCUAGCUAACAUUUAUUUAGAAGUUAUCAGGUUCAAAGAAUCCGUCAUUACUCUUAGCAUGUAAAAAUGAGUUAUGCAGAGCUCUUAUGCAUGUUAUAAAUGAGCCUUCCUAAAUGUAUUUUUCACCACCUUGCUUAUUUAUAAAUAUAAAUAUAACAAGCAUACAUACAACACAAAUCUCAAGGAAAAGUCACUUAAUAGCACCAAAAAAAAGUUCCAUAAUUUUGCUAACUGAAUUCAAGCUAAAGCUAUAAAAUUUGACAACACACCAUAUCCAAUGCGUGCACAAAUGAAAAUGCUAAAAAAUGUAACAGUCCAAAAAGGUUCUAAUUCUAAUUAGCAAUCGUCACUUUGUUCAUUGCAUUAUGAACCAAUCGAGGUGUCAUAAGCAUGUUCUUCAACCAUUAAGUUUGAAUUGCUAAAUUUUGAAAAUCAUAAACAGAAUCUUGCUUGCAAUGGAGCAGAGCUUACAAUAACACAUGUCAACGUUGAGCUUAGAGAUUUUUUAUGAAGUUACUUUAAAAGUGGAAAAAACGAUCAUCAGUAAUUGCAGGACGUGUUCUAAACAAAAGCACAUGUCAACGUUGAGCUUAGAGAUUUUUUAUAAAGUUACUUUACAAAAUGGAAAAAGGGAUCAUCAGUAAUUGCAGGACGGGUUCUAAUGAUUAAAAAUGAGAUAUAACAACAAAAACAAAACGAAAAAAAGGGCAUACCUUGUCCAGCUUCUCAAAUGAAUCCGCACGCCGUGGCAACCAACCUUUGAUUGCCUCUCCAGCCACAGCAGCUAGCCAGGAAGGCCACCCAGCUGCAACCUGCUCCCCUUCAGUGGCUUUCGGUAUGCUGCCCAUACCUGGGUGGUGAAGAACUGCAUACUCUGACUUGUCCCUCUUCCUAUCAACAUGCUCAACCCCAUGCACUCUAAGAGACCCAUUCACUUGCUUGUCAAUCAACAUUGUCCUACCAUCAUUACUAUCAUAUUGAUCUUUCGCUCUAUAUGCUUCCUCUCUCCUUGAAGAGGUAGCCCUUGAUACCCUCAAGUCAGACGAGGGCUUACUUGAAAGUCUCUCUCUUGGGCUCUCCUUGCUAUCCUCAAUUGCAGAGGGUUUACAACACAUGCAACCCAUUAUGUACCUAAACCACCUCCAAAAACACCCUUCUCCUUUAGAAUCAAUAAUUACCCUUCAAAAAUCUCAUCUUUACACUUCUAUCCUCUUCUUCCAUUCCCAUUUUCACACAACCAAACUAUACUUCAUCGAAAAUAAGCAAUUAAACUAUGUAUCUCAAAAUCAAUCACCGGAAGAGCAUAAGCAAUUCCCACUCAAGAUUGAAACUUUAAAAUAACCGAACACUAGAACCACACAAUUUUGCACAAUAACUUAACUGUGACUCAAUGACUGCUCUUUUACUGUGAAACUUCCAUUUCCUUAUCAAACCCACCGACUCCUAAUCCAAAAAAGGAAACCAAUUUCCUCAACCUACAACGCUAAAAAUGAAAAAACUAACAACAACCACCACCUUUACUCCAACAACAAAUUAAGAAUCACAACCUGAAAACUAAAUACCUUUAAAAUGUCAUGCCUAAUCUUUUCAGCUAUCGAAUCAGGUGAUUGAAAACCCUCCACCAAACUCACAAUUCCACUACAAAACAAACCCUAAAAACCCAAUAAAAAAAUAUAGAACCCAAAUUACCAAAACAAACAAACAAAAUCUAAAGAAAGUAAAGAACUGGAAACACUUCAAUAUAAAGCAUGCACCUUGAAAAUGGAAACCAAAAUGGUAAUAAACAAUAUUGUGAAAUGAGAAUUGAAGGACCUCCUAGAGAUGGAGAGAUCUAGGGAAAGAGAGAGAGAGAGUGGAGUAGUGUAGAGAAGAUGACAAGAAAAUGAAAAAUGAGAAUAAAUAUGUAAUACAAUAAAUAAAUAAAUAAAUGUGAAAGUUAUUACUAUAUAUUAAUAUUAUUAAAUUAAUUAAUUAAUGAGAUGGCGCGUAAGAACAGACAGGCUUUUAGAGAAGACUGAGAACUGAAGAGUGAGUGAAGACCCCAAUGCGUAAAGACAUUCUUGGUUUGUGUCUUCUUCUAUCCCCACGCGCUCUGUUUAUAUUGACACGUGUAUAUUUUUUCUUUGCCUUCGUUUUUUUUUAAACAAAACAUUAUUUAUCAUUUGAUGAAUAAUCUCUCUUUAGAUUUUUUACUGCCAGUUUAUACCUGACUGAAUAAAGUAAAAAAAAAAACUAAAUAGAAUAAUUUAACAAAAAAAUAUUAAAACCUAUUUCAUUAAUUUAUUUAACUUGUAGUUUAACCGAAUAAAAACUGAAUGUUACUGUAUUAUUUUCAAUAAAAAAAAACUUGUGUAUAUCAUAAAAUUUUCUCAACUUUAUAUAAUAUUAUGAUAAUACAUAAUUAUAUAAUAUAUGUGUCAAAUAUUAAUGUUGUUUUAUGAAUUAAACCCUAGUCAAUAUUCAUAAUAAAAACAUAUCUUAUAAUGGUAUUGUAGCUUCACAGGAUCCGUUUUCAUCUAUGGUAAAAUUUCUGUGUUUCAUUUUUUACCAUGCUUUAUUAAAAGAAAAACUAAAAAACGUGAGAGUUUCAAUGUAACUCUAUAUAUAAAUUAUUGUAAAUUAUUAUAGUAAAAUUAUUCUUUUACCUUUAAAUAGAAAAAACUUAAGUCCUGAAGUUGGGGUUUUUUCCACUUACCUAUUAGUUAUUGAAAAUUUUUUUGGGGAUAUAUGUGUUUUUUCUAAUUUUUUAUACAGUAAAAUACUUUUUUUAUUAAGAGUCAACAAUAUUUAUAAAUAUUGACCAAGGGCUUUCUUGAUUUUUCUCAAAUUUUUUAACAGCAAAAAUAUUUUUUUGCCCCCGAUAUCAAAAAUUUAUGGAGUUGUUGGGCAAAGGUGUUUAUGGUUUUUUCAUGAUCUAUAUACAGAAAGCAUAUUUUUAACCUUAUAAAAGACCAAAAAAAAAUAAGUUUUUCCUUUAAGGGUGUUUUAAUAUUUUCAUAUGAGUAUUCUGUGUAAUUAACAUGUUCAUGAGGGUGUUUUGGUAUUUUUCACAUUUUCUUUUCAAUUUUUUAUUCUAAGAUCUGUUGAAUGCGUGUUCCAAACAUGCUGAAGAGUGGAUGGCGUUCGUGUCAUUCAGGUGAUGAUGAUGGUGAUAAUUGUGGUAGUGAUAUUUAUAAUGAUGAUGAUGUCAUCGUCGUCGUCAUCAUAAUAAUAAUAACAAUUUCAUACUCACAUUUUUUCAUACUCACAUUUUAUUCAAAAAAUAAUAAUAAUAAUUUAUUAUGAUAGUUGUAGUGAUUAUGAUAUCAAUAACUAUGGUGAUGAUGGUAAUAAUAUUAAGAAUUAUUAUAAUAAUGAUAUUGAUGGUGGUGAUAUUAUAAUUAUAAUAGUAAUAAUAAUAAUGAUAAGAAUAAAAAUAAUAGUAAUAUUAAUUGUGAUGGUGGUGAUAAUAAUUAUAAAAAUAGUAUUAACAAUAAUAAUAAUAAUAAUAAUAAUAAUAAUAAUAAUAAUAACAACAACGAUAAUAAUAACAAUAAUAAUGGUAACAAUAAUAAUGAUAGUAAUCACGAUAAUAAUACUAAUAAUAACGAUAAUGAUAUUACUUAUUGAUAAUAGUAGUGAUGAUGACAGCUGUAAUGUUAGUGAUAGAAGUAUUGAUGAUGAUAAUAACGAUAGAAUACUAAUGGUGAUAAUUCAUCAUUCGAUGUUAGAUUUGUUAGGAAUUGAGUUUCACCACUUUUCCAUGUAUGGAAUUUCCGGUCUAAUAUUCUGGGUUACUAGUUUGAAAAGUGUAAUUGGAAACUCGUUUUAGGAAAAGAUCCAAGAUAAGAGAUUUCAAGAUUCAUCUUAUUGUCCGGGUUUAUAGCAUUGCAAAAAAAUCUUUGUGCUCUUGAUAAUUUUUUUCUACAUUUUUUAAAACAUGGUUUGGCUCGUGGUGGAGCGCAAAAAAAUGAACGAGUACACUUUCUAUGUAUUGUUGUUUAUCGUUGUUUAGAGAGCACUUUUUUUAUCUAUUGUUAUUGAAUUAUUUUUAAAUUAAAAUUAAAAUUAAAAAUAAUAUGGAUCAAACACCUUUAUUCAAACUUACUAAAUUUAUGUAACGAUCACUUUCUUUAUUUUAUCAAAAUUUCUAAAAACCAACAAAUCUUGAUAUUUAGAAAUUUUCCUAAACAAAUAUAUACCAAAUGUAUUUGUGAUUUGAGUAUUUUUUUUAAACAUAGAAAUUGACGAAGUCAUGAAAUCUUCAUAUUGGAUUAUGCUUUCCACGGGUUGUGAUUUUAGGCUAGAGAAGUGACCGAUUUCACCACUAAUCAAUAAGAUUUUCCUACAAAACAAUCUCAUGUUGGAACAAGAGGUCUUCUAAAAAUUAAUUUAAUAAAAAACAUGAGGGAAAUAAUAUACAUGAAAGUAAAGAAUGUAGGAGAGUGUAUUUGUGAAUGUUGGAUUGGGUGCAUUGUGUAAACUUGUUGAAUAGUUGUUCGUGAUUUCUAAAAUUGUUGUCUGGUUGCUUGUGUGUUUCUGGAAGUGUUGGGUGGUUGCUCAUGGUUAUUGGAAGUGUUGGCUGAUUUCUUGUGAUUACUAGAUCGAGACCCAAAUAAUUUUUCAAGGUCGAGCCAGCCAAAAUAAACUGAAAAGCAAUUUGUUUGGGUUGUGGCCUAAAGGGAUUGAAGGUAGUCAUUUUGGUUUGCUGGCCUAAACAUGUUAUUUAAUUAUUAUUAUUUUAAAUUUUAACAAAUUUAUCGUGCCAUCAUAUGUCCCCCAAGUCUUUAAAAAACAUGUUUGGAAGACUUUACCGAAAAAAAGUAGGGGAUAUAAAAUACUUAUUGUUUUUAUACUGGUGAUGUUACUUGCUUUUGUUAAUGUACAUACAUGAGAGUUCUCUUAAUUGUUUUUCAUCAUUUCUGUGAAGAGAAGAGAAUUUAGUCAAUUUUAUGUGUUCUUCCUAGAAUAGAGAACAUUAUUACUUAAAAGUGGAGAAUAUUUCAUGUGAAAACAACUUUAAAGUAUUAUAAUAUUGGAGAAGUGGAGAUUUCAUUAGAGAUCUCAAGUUGAGAUCUUUAUUGGAGACAUUAGAAACACAUUUAGAGACAUAGAAACUUCGCUUGGAGAUGUGGAGAUUUCAAUAAAGAUAUGAAGAUCUCAUCAUGAAGAUUUUUUAUUGAAGACAUGAAGAUAUGUUUUGGAGACACGAAGAUCUUACUUUGGAGAUUUUUAUUAAAGACAUGGAGAAAUAUUACUACUUUUAUUCAAAAGUUAAUGGAGAUAUAAUUUCUAAAAAUUAUUUGAUCUUGGACAGUCCAUCAUAUGAAUUUUUUUCAGUUUGUUCAGAUUCUUUUUUUUUUCUUCAUAAAUUAUUAGAGGUAUCCUUUAAAGAUCAAUUUUCCCUCUUCUUUUUCAAGGUAUGACAUUCCUCAAUGUCGUGAUCAUGGUCAUGGUAAAAGUGACAGGAUUUAUUAGGGUUCUUUGUAUUUGCGCUGCUUUUCUUAGGGCCAGGUAUCAUUUCCUUGAUUGGUAGCCAACACUUUAGUAUAUGUAGUGAUAAAAGGUGUGUUCAGGAGCUCGAAGAAUGUUAGGCGAUCAAGAAAUGAUCUCUCAGUGCUCUUUUUCGAUGCCCUGGUAGGAGAUCGAUAACAUUACAGAGAUUUUGCUCUCUCUAAAAACGAUGAUGUCCCUAUUUGGCAACAUUGGCUUCUUAAACGAUAAUAAGAAUAGACAUAAACAUUAAAUUGAUUGAAUAAAAUAAAGGAAAAAAAUAUUAUGCUAGGUUGCACAUAUUAGAAAUAUUAUCUAAAAAUAAAAAAACUUAUUUUAAAAAAUAAAAUUCAUCUAUACAAAAGAUAAAAAAAAAAUUAUAGAUAAAUAAGAAAAACCUCGUAAAAAAUUAAAUGCAUAACAAAAAAAAUCAUCAAUUAAAAGAGGCUCUUUAAACAAAAUAAAAGAAAGAAGAGGUAUUAAUCUAAAUAUAAAUAUUUAAAAAUGUAUAAAAAGAAGCAUUAAUUAAAAAAAAAAAAAGGUCAGGUGCAGUAGCUAACCUGUCUAGCCUUUUUGUUGGGGCUCGCGCGACUAGGCCCUUAUUUGUUUUCGCAUUUAGGGUGGUGUCGCCCCAAAUGUUUUUGAAAAAAUAAAUCAGACGACACGUCGUUUGUUUUUGCCCAGAUUCCAACCAUUGCAGUGACCAAAAAAUCAAGGCUUAGGGUUUUUUACCCAGAAACACAUUUUUCAACAUAUUUUUGACCAAAAACACCUAUAAAACACCUUAAAAACCGUAACAAACCUAUUUAUAGCCUAAAAAACCAAAAAACCAUCUCAAAAAUCAAAAUCAACCCGAGCUCAUAUAUGUUUUUUCAUGAAUUUUAAAGGUAAAAAAAUCUAGUAUGAACUCCCCUCAUCAAAUAGAAUUAUUUGACACAAAUAUCGACCGUUUUAGUGGUCUAAAUUGGUAUUAACGGCAUCUCUCUCUCUACCGCUAGAAUCCAGCGACCUCUCUCUCUCAUCUCUCAACCAGAGACUAAAAGUAACAAAAAUAAAUUUUUAUACCGAAAUUGAAUUGAAAAAAUAUUAAGACACCAAAAUUGUAUAAUUUGUUUUAUUUUUAAAGUGCGAUGACCAAAGUAUAUCUAGAUCUACGGUGUUUUAUUUGUGUAUAAAUAGUGUCGGCUCUACAGCUAAAAUCACAUGCCUUUUUAGAUUUUUACUUCAAUUAGUUUUCUUUCUCCAAUUUGAAGGAUAGUAGAUAGGCAUUUUAUUUGUGUAUGAAUCCAAAAAAUAAAUACUCUAGUUUUGUUAACGAAUCACAUCAUGUGCUAGGACACGGCAACAAUUGCAGGGAAAACUUGAUAAUAAAGGAUGGAUUGAUUUGCUGGAUUUUCUUUUCCUUUUGCCUUUUUAGCAUUCUUUCUAUAACUUGAUAAUAAAUAUCGUUAGGUGGGUGAAUUGGAUGGAAACUCUUGCCCCUCAUUUGAAGGCCCCACUCAAAAUAAUCAUGAUCCUAAUCUUAGUAAGUUGAAUAAUCAUGUGGCUGUUCAAUGAUUGAUUUUUUUUGGGUAAUGCUGAUUUUAAUAUCAUUUUCAUCUAUCAAUUUGAUUAGGUGGGUCCUUGUCGCUGACAUUUUUCUUUGGAUGAUUGGAGACUUUUUUGACCUUCAUCCAUGUAUGUAUGGGUUUUAACCAGCAGUGAGAAAAAUAGUUGACAUUUUUCUGCUUUUGACAUUAAAAAUAUAAAGUUAAAAGGUUUUGGAAUACACUAUUUUUAUAUAUCCACUAACAUUGUGGAUAAUAAUAGUAAUUUAUAGUAUUGGUUUUUUUUUUUAGCAUUUUGACCUUUUUUUCCUUUUAAGUAUUGGUUUUUUUUUUUAAAUUUAUUCCUCAUAUGAUAUGUUUAUAGAGAUUUAGAGUAAAUAAUUUAUUUUAAUUUGUUUUUUAUAUAGUUAUCACAAUACUAAAAAAAUAUCAUAGCAUCGAGUUGGUAUCGGAAAAAAAUUUCAGUAUUACAGUAUGAUCUAUUUUUAAAAAAGUUUAGUGAAACAAAAAAUAAUUUAGAAAAAAAAACUAAGUUAUUAAACUUUGUGGAGUCAAUGACCCUGUUUCCGAGUUUGGCGAGAUAAUCCUGAUUGCCUCGGUUCGCGGGUUUUGUUGGGUACUUUUUUUUUCUAAUUGAACUUGAUUAUAUGAUCAUAUAUAUUUUUUUAUCAUAUAAUUAAAAAAUAGUUUAAAAAAAACAUGUUACUAUAUUUUAGAAAGUCCAUGGGCCUAUUGACGAGUUUAACUUUUCUGUUUUUCUUUUUUAAAAAAAAUUAUUUUUUUUAUUUCAUCCUUUGAUGUUAGGUUGAUUGAGAAUUGAGUUUCAUAAUUUAUUUCGUUUUGCUUUUUAAGAGGUUAUUAUAUUCUUAAAAAAAAAGUCUUAGAAUUGGUUUGAUGCUUAAUUUUGCGAUCAUCUAUUUUUGUUAUCAUAUAGUUAAAUAAACAAUAAUUUAUAUAAAAAAACAAGUUAUUAAUCCCAAUGGAGUCCAUUAUCAGGUUUGCGAGUUUGAAAUGUUGACCCGGGUUACCCGAUUCACGAGUUUAGCCAUCAAGCCUGAUAUUUUUUUUUUUAGAUUUUGGUCCUUUAAUUUUUCUAAUUGUCUUUUUUUUUUAUUUCACUCUUCUUUAAUAUUGGAUUGUUUGGGAAAUGAAAUUCAUGGUUUAUUUUUUUCUACUUUUUAUAAGGUUAUCACGAUCUCAAAUAAAAUGUCUUUUUUAUGGUUACUGCUCAAUUUUUCAAGUAUCUAAUGUUAUCAUAAAAUUAAAUAAAAAUAAUUUAUAAAAACAACAAAUUUAAUAAACUCAUUGAACUUCAUGACCUAGGUUACAAGAUGACCGAGGUCGAUCUCAUCUGGUAUCAUCUCAAUAUUAAAAAAAAAUUAUUGUCUUAAAGUUUUUUUAAAAGAUAUGUCAUGUUUUUAUUGGUCAUCUAAGUUGUAUUUAGACCCAUUAAAUUGAAUGAUUCACUUUGGAUCAACUCUUACGCGAUUUAAUUCAAAACUCGAGUAAGGAAAAGAGUCGAGUUGGCAGGUUUCAAGAUCAAACCGCUUGAUUGGAUUUAAUGAUACUACAAAAAAAUAUCACCAUACUCUUAACAUUUUUUUAUGUUUAGAAAAAGAAUAGUCUGACUCACAGUGAAAUGCAAGCAAAUGUAUUAAAACAAGAAUGUGUGACAUAAGCUCGUAUAUUUACAUUGCUCAUAGUUAGAUUAUUGGGGAAUUACAAAAUUGUCAAGAAGAGUGAUAAAUUGAUAGUUGGAGGCAAGGUUGUCAAAAACGCAUUUUUGACACGACAUGAAAAAUACAAAAUAAACUCGGAUCGUAAAAACGGAUCGUAAAAUCGUAAGGAAUUUUUUCAAGAGAAGCCUAUUGUCCCAAAUUCAAAGAAGAUGAUACAAAUAAAACAAUGUUCUGGAAAGGAAUAAACAUUACCAGCAAUGCUUUCAUAAUCACAAAGACACCAUAACACCAUCCCACGCAAAUUCAAAGAAAAUCAAUACAAACAAAACAAUGUUCUGGAAGGAAACAGACAUUACCAGUAAUGCUUUCAUGGACAGGGACAUUGGUGACCAGUUCCUUCACACUCAAACGUUUGCACAACAACGUUGUAAAAUUCAUAAUGUUCAAUCACCAAAUAGUUAAAAAACCUGCAAAGAAAAAAACAUCGCAUCAAAAGUUUGAACCAUCAAUAACAAAAGACACGCUGAAAUGCAGAGAGAAAAGAGGACACGAAGCAAAGCAAAACCAAGGUUUUUAUUUUUUUUCUUCGAAUACAUAAACCUGUUCAAACUGUCCACAUAGCAAAACAACAACAUUGAGACCUGCCAACAUUACAGGUAACCUCCAUAUGCAAUCUGUGAUUGUUCCUGCACAAACACACUAAUCAGUUCUACCCCAUAGAUUGAUCCCUGAAGCUUUUUCUUCAGAAAUGAAUCCUUUGCUCUUUAAACUUUAAACUGCAUCCUUGAUAAUUUGCUCCAUGGGAAUAAAUUCUAAACCCAAGUCCAUCAGCUUCUUGGCUCCAUUCUUUGCCCUUAACAACCCAGGUUGGGUAUCCUUCAGCAACCUACACCAAUAGGCACAUUAAGGAUCAAGCAGUAAUGAUUCAUACCAUCAAACAACCAGAAAGAAGUUUUAAGAUCUCAAUGAAGCAGGGGUGGCAAUGGACAGAAGUUUGAUCCACAACACAACAACAAGCACAACUUUGUAUGAGAAUAAAGAGCAAGACUAGUUAAAUUUAAUGUUCCCAAAUUCAAAACCCACAAACCACACUUAUCAAGAAAAUCUAAAUUCACCUCAAAUCAGCCUAUAUACUGAUUUUGCGAAAGAAAUUAUCAUAAGAAAAAUUGGUCUCAUUUCACAAGUUCGAUUACCAAACUUUGCUUUUACUGUAAUGACACCUAACCUAGCAAUAAUAAUCUACUACAAUUUGCUCCAAUAAGAGUUCAAACAUUCUGACAGCUUAACCAAUUAUAUAGACCGACCUCCAGAUAUGAGAAUAUUCAAGAAAUUGGUAAAAGCUAAACAAACAGCUGAAAUAUUCUUCUGAUUUGGGGUUUCAAUCUAUAAUCAGUGUUGUCUUUAGGGUUUUUGCUUUCCAGCUAGCAAGCUAAAGCAAAGCUUAACAUAUAUGAGGACAAAGUGAUAGUAUGCUUGCACGGUUUCACCAUUAUCGUCCAGACUUCCAUAAACAAGUGCACUAACAAGAAAAAAAAAAGAACAAAAAUUGGUUGUUGUUUGAGUUUUGCCUAUGCAGAGACAAGACUCGGUGAGUUGUGGAGGCAGAGCAGUAGAGGUGAGUUGUGGAAAAAGAGGCGAGACUGCGAGAACCCUUGAGAUUUGAGAAAGGGGAAAGGGGAAAAGGGAAAGGGGAAAGGGGAGGGUGACGGUGUGUCGGGGAGGGGAGACAGAGUCAGUUUAUUUUUUUCACUCUCUAUCAAACUCGUUAACUCGGUCCGUUUUUACCGAGUUGACCGAGUUUGGUCGAGUUUGACCGAGUUUGACCAUUUUCGAGUUUUUAACUCGAUUUUACAGGUUAUAUGGGAGUUGACUCGUAAAAUCGUACGAUUUUACGAGUCAACUCGCGAUUUUGACAACAAUGGUUGAAGGGUUAGACUUCAGUUUUUAUCUGAAAAAUAACAUUAACUAAAUAAUUAACUCACAUUAAAUAACUGGUUGGGGAAAAAAUUAAACUUAAAAAAAUUUCAAGUUUGUAAAGAAUUUCUAGGCAGUGUCAUUAAAUUUAGCCUAAGUCAAUUUUAAAAUCUCCUGAUCAAACUCAUCUCUUAGUCCAGGUUUUAAAUUAAACCGUAUGAAAGUUGUCCCGGUAUGACUCAAUUGACCUAAUGAGUUUAAAGUGACCCAAAUAACCAGUAAAAAGUGUAAUUUAACUUUUUUUAAAAAUUUCAAGAUAACAUAAUUUUUUUAAAAAAUAUUGAUACGACAAUAUAUUGUAUUGACCUGAGUUUUGCGGCUUAACCCACCAAAACCAUUACUCGGGUUAUGGACUCCACUUUUAAUAAAAAAAAUUUAAACUACUUUUUAUCUAAUUAUAUGAUAACAAAAAUAGAUGUUUGUAAAAUCAACCACUAACUUGAUGUUGGGAAAAAUCAUGGUGUUUGUUUGAGACCAAAAUAAAUUAUGAAGGUCAAUUCAAAAUCAACCAAAAUUUAAAGGAAAAAAUUGAAAAAAAAUCUGUCAAUAAAUAUCCAAUAUUGAAUGAUGACAUUGGGAAAAAUCAAAGGAAAAAAACCAAAAAAUAGGCUAAACAGACUGGCCUAUAUGGUCCAAUACGCCUCUACCUUCUUUAUUUAUUUUUCUUUUUUAUCAUCCACCCUUUGUUUUUUGAAAACAUAUAUAGUAGGCAAUAUGUUGUAUGUUUUUAUAGAUUCUGACCACCACAUGUGGCUGGAAAGUCAAGCUUCUAACUUAUAGGUAAAAAAAAAAAACAAUUUCAAAUAGUUUUCAAUUGAAAACACCUAAGAAACACCCUAGGGAUCUCAAUAAAUCCAUUUUUUUUAAUCUUAAAUUAGCAUUUAAUCAGUUAUAAAUGAAAAAUCAUUUUAAUCCAUUUUUUAAAAUGUGAUCUACUUUUUUUCAACAAAAUAAAUAAAUAAAAAAGAUCUAAAGAGAACUCUCAUUGUCAAAUGGAACCGAUUAACAAAAAUUAGUCAUUCACUAACUCUUUUUUUUGUGUUUUUAGCGACUUUCCCUUUUCUCUCACAAUUACAUGGUCUAAAUAUGAACAAAAUAAAAUUUAGAACAAAACCUCUCAAUUCCCAAACCAAAUAGACCACAAAGAAAAUUAGACAAAAUCCUAAGGCACAAAGGUGCUAACAUGAUUUUUUUAACGGAAGAUCCUUUUUUAUUUUUUUAAUUGUGGUCCCUUGAUUUUUUUAUUUUUCUUAAAUAAUAAAAUUGGAUUCAUUUUCAUGAAAUUGAGUACCAACCUAAUAGCAAGACUUUUUUAAAAUAGAGAUAACAAAAAAAAUUUGAAACAAAUUAUUAACCUUAAAUCUCAAUAAACACAACAUUGAAGCAUCAAAUUGAAAAGAAAAAAUUGAUGAUCAAAGGCAUAAAAAAAAUAAAGAUGACCAAAGUUAAAACCAUAUAUUUUUUUUAAAUGCCUUAUAUUGUUUUUUUCAAUUUUGGUCCCCUCAUUUUUAAUCUCUUGCAAACAAUAAAAUCAAAUAUAUUUUUUUGUGAAACUUGGCACUAACACCAUGUGAGGAUGUUUUUCUAAGAUAGCGCUAAGCAUAUAAAAAGCGAAUCAAAAUAAAUUAUCAAUCCUAAAUCCCAAUCAACACAACAUUGAAUGAUAAAAUUCAAAAAAAUAAUAACAAAAAAAGGUGUAAAAAAAAAAUGAAGCAACAUUGUGUGAAUAUAUGGUGUUUUGCCUUGUAAUCCACAAUGAUUGUAUGAUGCUUUUUCAGUUUUUAACUAGAUGUAGACUUGUACUACACCACAUGGCCAUAUUAUUAUUAUUAUUGCUUAAAAUGAUGUUCAGGUGAUACGAACAUUUUAAAGAAUGGAGAAAAAUGUGUGACACGAGUCAUAGACCCAACUGGGUUAAAUAAAUUGAUUUUAUUUUAAUUAGAUAAUAAAACAAAUAGGCAAUGACAACAGAUGGACCGAAAAACAUUAUCACGAUAACUUGAAGAAAAAACUUUUUCUAAAAAGGUGAAAAACGAUGUAGCUCAUUUAUCAACCAAUUAAAUACAAGAUGAUAAAAUUAGGUGAAAAUAGAACAAAGAAAAUUGACAUAAGUCAACUCAAGUUAGCAUGACAAACCUAUAACCCGGGUAAUAUAGACCAAGUCAACACGGGUUAGCCCGCCAAACUCUUGGCAUAAGUUAUGAGAUUAUGAUAACUUAAUAGAAAAGAAAAUGAAGAAAAUUACAAUGCCUAUUUUUUUUAAGAGGAAAACAAUGUCGAAUGAUGAAAUAAAAAAAAUAAGUAAGAAAAUGUCAACCCACUUUAACUUCUCAAACUCCUGAUCCGGAUCAUUAGAUCAAAAGCACCCUAUCUUAAAAAACCAUGAUGUCUGAUUCCUAACCAAUCAAAUAUUGAAUGAUGAAAUUAUAAAAAAAAAUCAAUUAAACAAAAGAAUCCAAAAUAGAAAAUAGCAAUUAAACAAUGAAGAACUAGAUUGAAAUAAAAAUAAAUUAGAAAACAACUACAAUUUUUUUAUUGAAGGGUGAAAUUGUAAAUAUAAAUCAAUUUAACAAAAGGACCAAAAAACAAUUAAAAGAAUGAGAAUCAAAUUGAAAAAAAAUAGCUUAUCACAAAUUAGGAUUGAAUGAUGAAAUUGAAAACAAAUUAAAAUUUAACAAAAGGGCAAAGAACAAAAAUUAAAAAUCAAAAGAAUACAGACCAAAGUUGAAGUCUCAAUAAAUAAGAGGACAAGUCUGAAAUUUUGAAUGCUCAAUAUGAAUUUCAAGGGGAGGAGGGAGAAAAGAGAAAAAUAGAAAGAAAGCAUUAUUGUUAACAAACCGCCCCCACUACUGCUGCCUUAUGCGGCCCCAAUAAGGAGAAGAUAUCACGAUGACUCAAUAAACACGUAGAAGGAAAUGUUUUGUUAUCGAGAGACGCCGUAUGCGCCGUUAGAACACUAUGGGAACCUCCUAUAUGCUAACCAUGUUUUUUAUUAUUAUAUUUUAUAUUUAUUAAAAUAUCAAAUUACCCCCAAUCAACUUAAUUAUAACUAAUAAACUAGGUUGAGAAUUCAAAAAAGCCCUCAAAUGCUAGUUUUAGAAUUUUUGCUUUUAAAGAUAUUGUAGUUAUUUUACUGCACUUUAAAAAUAUGAAAUGACCAAGUUAUUUCUGAUCAAUUUGAUAAUGACUAGUGAACCUUGUGAAAAGACUGCAUUACCUCUAAUAGUCAGUUUAAAGAUUUUUGGCGGGAAGAGCAAAAUCAUCAUUACAUUGUUAUAAUUAACAAUGUUUUUCCCUCCCAAAUUAGCUUUUGUUAAUUUUAAUUUUAAUUUAAUUAUAAUUUUCCAUAGCAGUAGACUUUUGGCCUAUAACAAGUUAACUCGAUAUUAUUUGUGGCAAAGGAUAAUAAGAUCCUAAGCAAAAAAAUAAAAUAAAAAAGUUCAAUUGAGUCCUUGAUAUUACUCUUUUUUAAUUUUCUACUUUAAAAAUAAUAAAACGAGGACUUAUAUGUCUUAAAAUGGUACUUGUUUUGGCAUGAGUUUUAAUCGUGGACUUAAUUGGAUAACGUAUGAUAGAUAUAAUGAAAUUUAACUUUUAAAGUUAUUCUAAACAUUACACUAUGUAAAUAAAAUGUUAAAAGAUAGUUCUACUCCAUUCAAUCUUGUAAUGACAAAUAAGUUCUGUAAAAAGAUAAUUUUACCUUGUACGGUUUAAAUUGUGAAAGGAGAAAUAAUAAUUUUAUAAUUUUAUUGUGAGGAUCCACAAUAAAUUAUUAUCUAUUAGUAUAACAGCCCGGCCCAACUUGUCAUAUAUUGUCCACUUUGGGCCUUACUGUCCUCAUGGUUUUGUUCAUGGUGACGCGAGCCCACAUCUGAGCCUGACGCCCCAAAACGCGUAUGACAAGUUGGCAACUAGCACUUGCUAUAUAUUGUCUGCUUUGGGCUUUACCGCCCUCACGGUUUUGUUCCUGGCGACGCGAACCCACAUAUGAGCCUGACGUCCCAAAAAGCGUAUGACAAGUUGGCAACCAGCACUCAUAAUAAGACCAACUACCACUCCCUCACCCGCCGAUGUGGGAUAUUACAAUCCACACACCUUAAGGAGCCUGACGACCCCGUCGGCACAACCGGACAAACAGUGAGGUCGGUUCUGAUACCAAAUGUGACAGCCCCGCCCAACUUGCCAUAUAUUGUUCGCUUUGGGCCUUACCGCCCUCACAGUUUUGUUCCUGAUGAUGCGAGUCCACAUCUGAGCUUGACGUCCCAAAACACGUAUGACAUGUUGGCAACCAGCACUAUUAAUAAGGCCAGCUACCACUCCUUCACCUGCCGAUGUGGGAUAUUACAAUUAGUGUGUGUAAUGUAUUCUUGAUUAAUUUUUUUAGCUUUUGCUUUAAUGGGUUUAAGUUUUAAAGUUUCAUUUAAAAGUCUCCCAAUCAUGCAAUUUGAAAUUCCUACAAUUCAAAUUGUUAGAUUAAUUUAAUUUCAGCAUGAAUUUAUCCCGUUAGGAAUAUAUUGGUUGGGACUUUGAUAUGCUUUGAUAUUACCAUGAUGUUACAUGGAAUCAAAGAUUUCUAAACACAUUUUUUCUUUCCCUCUCAUUAAUUAUAACUUAUAAGUGAAUGGUUAAAAAUACCAGUUUCAUAAAAACAAAAUGAUAAAAAGAAUUGAAAAGAGAUUAUGCAAGAAGGUCCUCUUGUCCUAUAUGCCAAAGAUUUUAUGAUGUUUUAUCAAAAUAUGAAACAUAGAUUAUAUUGGAAAGUUAGGGGUAAAUAUUUUCAGUUCAGUUCGGUUUUUACUUAAAAAAAAUAACCAAAUUAAAAUUUAAAACAAAAAUAAAAAGACUCAGGAUCGGCUCAUGAAAGAAAGCAGGAACUUAUGGAGGCCAUUGAACGUUGGAAUAUAAUGAAAAUUCCAACUUGAUUCAAUGUUGUUGGAACCGGUUUGGCUCGGUCUAAUUCAAUUAGUUUUAAACUCUUAAAUCAAAACCAAACCAACAUAAUUUUUUUGUUUUUCUAAUAUUUAAUUCAGGUUUUUUAGUUAAUUUUUAUUUUAUUUUAUUAAUUUUUCGGUUUUUUUCUCCCCUCUAAAGAAAGUAAUAGAACAUAAUGAAAUUACCAUGAUGCAAGUCUUGGUCGGUCCAUUGAACGUGCACAAUACCUACCAAUACCAUCUCACCUGUUAGCGAACAGUAGCUGUCAAUGUCCAAUAAAUAAUGAAUAGUUUAUCCAUUUGAUAAGGCAUUCAUGAAAUUUAUGGCAGUGUCUUCUGAAAUCGAGACAAGAAACAAGUCAAUGGGACCCCUUCAAGCUCAAGCAUGGUGGCCUCUGAGUUCUUCAUGCUCCACGUAGUUCAACACUUUGUAUUCUAGUUACAAAACUGUAUUAUUAUAUUUCGCCAGCUUUGAUUAAAUAAUCAAGUGAAUUCACAUUAAUAUAUCUGUUUUGUAAUCAACUGCAAGUUAUUUUUUUAAGUUUAUAUAUAUAUAUAUAUAUAUAUAUAUCAACACAUCAAAACUAUUAAAAGAUACUUAAAAAACAUUAAUUUAAUUAUUUUUAAAAUAAAAAAAAUCUAAAAAACACUUUAAAAAACAGGUUGAACCACAUUAUCAAAUACAUCAUUUUCGGAUAUGUUUGGAAUUGUGGUUGUGAUUCAAAAUGUUUUGCGCUUAGAAACGCAUCAAAAUGAUGUUUUUUUAAAAAAAAAAAUUAUUUUUAAAAUCAGCACAUCAAAACGAUCUGAAAACAUAAAAAAUUUAAUUCUUAAUAAAAAAAAUUAAAUUUUUUAAAAACACGGGUUGGAUCUCGUUUCCAAAUGAUCCAUUCAUGGUUGUUCCGAGUAAUUAGCUUUUCAUUAGUACAACGUAAAAUCAAAACUUCUUUUAAAUUGUAGGGGUAACAUUGAAAACAUUUAAAAUAUAAGGGUAGAAGUGAAACAUUUAUGAAUCUCUAGGAGCAGUAUUGAAAUUUACCCUUGUUUUUCUACUGGGGAAACCUCAAUUUAGUCCUCAUAUUUACUUCAACGUCAAUUGAGCCCCAAUCCUUAUGAUUUUGUUAAGUUUACCCCAAGCACAAUUUUAACAUCAAAUCAUUAUAAAUUUUACUUUAUACAAACCAGUUAUUCUCCAAAACAUGAAAGCAAAAGAAAAGAUCAAAGACUAAAACCAGAAUCAAUGAAAUCAGCCAAGAGGAAACAGACCUAAAAGCAUUGUUAUUAAAAUAUAUUUAUGCUUCAUACCUUGCAAGAUAUAUUUAUACUAUAGUACAUACAAGUAUCCAAAGUCAUCUUUUAUUUCUUUUAAUAUAAAUGUUUUAAUAUAAGAGUAAGAGAAAUAAAAUAUAAAAUCUAGAAAAUUUUCUAUGAAAUACCAUACAAAAAGUAACAAUCUUUUAAGGGAACGGGUAUAAUAAAAUUCAAAAAAUUCUUCUAAUGUGUAUUCCCACAUAAAUGAUCCUUUUUAUUUGACCUACAAAAACAAAAAAUAAUUAAUUAUAAUAAAUUAAUAAACCCGGCAUAACUCGGGUGAGACCCGACCUUUUUUUUAUAUAUUUUUUAAUAAACCCAAAAAAUGUAAAGUUAAUGUGUGAAUACUUUAACUUUUUCAUGUGGGAUAACUAUAUUUAUAGUCUAUAUCCUCAUAGAAUAUUUCUUAACCUACACUCACAUGAGAUAACAUACACUCACAUGAAAUGUUUCAGAUAGCUAUAUAUAGCCUAAAACCACAUGAAAUGUUUCUUAACUUUUUUAUAUGAGAUAGCUAUAUAUAGCCUAAAACCACAUGAAAUGUUUCUUUUCCAUGUGGAAUAUUAAAACCUCAAAAUAUUUUUUAAAUUUUUUACCGGGUUGACCCGUUUUGACCCGGGUAACUCGUAUGACCUGGACCCGGCCCCUUGGUCGGGUCAACCCUCAGGCCAGGUUUAAUAACUAUGGUGUACACACUGUCAUUUUAAUGUGGAUUUACACAAUGAAAUGAUCAUUUUGUUAUUUUUAAACAAAAUCAUUUAACUUGCUAUUGGAGGUAAAACAGUCUUUUUCAUGGGAUCCAUCUAUCAAUGUCAUAUUGAUUUGGGAGGUCCUGAUCUUUUUACAUUUUAGGUGCAUAUUAAAAUGACUUAAAUACCAUUAAAAGCAAAAAAUAAAUAAAACUGGGGACAUGGAGCUUUUUGAUUUUUUAAUAUUUUGAUUGCACAAUGAAAUGACUAUAUUUUUCUUAAAAGAAAAAAAAACUGAUAUAAAAAAGUAUUUUAGUCGCUUCAUUAUGGUUUUUAAGUCAUUAUCAAUUUUAAUAAGGGGCAUUUUAGUCUUUUAACAAAUAUAAAUAUAAUAAAAAAUUAAAAGAUGGUAAGCGCGUGCCACGUACACACUAGAGAGAGAAGGGCACUAAUGCCUUUUGAAUUGUGUCUGGCACCUCCUAGCGAUCAAAUGCCGCUAAUAUUUUUCUUUUCCUCCCUCCUCUUUCUCCUCGUCUUAGAUUUCACGCCAACCAUUUCAAAUAUCAAACAUGUCUUGUUAGUUUGUAUUUAUAUCAAUUUUGGUCUUCAUUCUUUUGAUUGCUAUUUGUUUUGUUUUUACGGCUUUUUGAAGUUGAUUUUUUAUUUAUUUUGUCCCCCAAUAUUUUACUUCAUUUAAUUUUUGUAUCUAAUUUGGUCUUUAUUCUUAUGAUUACUAUUUUGUUUUUGUUUUUAAUCCUUUUCUUGAUUUGUUUUUUUAAUUUUAUCCCUUAACAUUUUAUUUCAUUUAAUUUUUGUAUCUUAUUUGUAUCUUAUUUUUUUUAUUGCUAUUUUUUGUUUCUAAUCGUUUUCUUGAUUUAAUUUUUUUUUCAAUUUUGUUUCUCAACAUUAUAUUUCAUUUAAAUCUUGUAUUGAACUUGGUACUCAUUUUUUUUAUUGCUAUUUGUUUUUUUUUUAAUGGAUGAUUAGGAUUUAGGAAUUUUGCUUCAUAAUUUUUUUUGUGUUUGCCUUCUAAAGGGCAAUUAUGGUCUCAUGACAUAGGUCACGGAUUUUAAAAAUUAGCCCGGUUUAACUUCGGUCUUUUUUAGGCCAUUGAUUGCUUUUAUGUGGGGUUAUCCCGAUCUUAGAUUUUAGAUCAUAAGUUGGUCGAGUUAACCCGAGUUGACCCAAGUUUUUUUUUUCAUUUUUUAAAUUGAUUUUUUUAGAUUAGUCUUUCAUCAUUUAGUUUGCUUAAGAGUUGACCUUCAUCGUUUUAUUCAAUUUUUUAUGUGUGAGUUUAUCCAUAUCUCAUGACCAGGUCGUGAAUUUGGUAUGCUGACACGGUUUUUUUUAUCCUUUUUAAAAUUGAUUUUCUUUCUAGAUCGUCCUUAAAUGUUUGCUUUGCUGAUAAUUGAGCUUCAUAUUUCUUUUAUUUUUUUAUGAGGUUAUCCCGUUCUCAUUCGAUUUUGUUUUGUUAUCAAAUAAGAUCGUUAAGACUUUUUAAUAAUAUUUAGAAGGUCUAUUUUUGUAAUAUUUAUAAGCAUUUAUUUUUUUAUUAGUCAUUAUCAUUUUUUAUUGUUAUUUGAUUUUUUUAAUAAUCAAAUUAUUAAAUUAAGAAACUUUAUUGAAUCCAUUCAAAUCAUUGAUCUGUCUCAAAUUUUUCUUUCUCUUUUAAAAACACUAUCAUUGUCUGGACAUUUUUUUUUAACAAUAGAAAACAUUUUGUUAGGCCCGCGUCACAGGGUGGGCUACGUUUCCUAUUUUCUUAAGAGAUAUUCAUAAAAGAAGGGUAGUAUUUGGAAUUUGAUGUUAGUUUAUGUAAAGUUUUUGUUUUUUUUAAUAUAUAUAUUGGGAAUGUAGUUUACAGGAAGUUGUAAAUGUAUCGAUGCUGAGGCUAUUUAUCCUAAACCAAAGCAUAUUUGUUUUACAUGUAAGGCUCCGUUUGUUUGCAGGAAAGUUGUUUCCUUUUGGAAAGUGAAUUCCGGGGAAAGUGAAUUCCGAGAAAGUAUUUUCCGAUGUUUGGUAGUGUUAUGGAAAAUGAACUGGAAAACACUUUCCAGUGUUUGGUUAUGUUAUGGAAAAUGAACUGGAAAAUAAUUUAUUAAUGAAUUAAUUUUUUUUCAAGUUUAUCUAAUAUAUAUUAAAUAUUUAAUAUAAAUAUUUAAUCACUUACAAUAAAAGAAUGAAAUCUAAAAAGUAUAAUGAUGAAUUUUUUUAUUAUAUCUUAUAUUCAUACAUAGCUUAUUUUAUAAAAUAUAACUAUAUAUGUCAUAUCAUAUUAUAGAGAAAUAAGCUUGUGAAAUAUUUUUUAAGUUAAAUAUAUUUUUUUUCAAUUUUAAAAGCUUAAAAUAAGUUUUUUUUUUUAUAUGAAGAAAGCCAAAUUAGUUUAUGGUAAGAGUUAUAUAUUACAUUAGAUUAACAACUAUUUUAAUUUUAAUUUUUCGUCACUGGGAACCAAUUAAAUUUAAUUUAGAAACAAAAAUGUCUUGUAAUUACAAUAAAAUGAUUUAUAAAAUCCUUAUGUUUGGAUGCUGGGCCACCCACCCCCCUAAAAAAACGUUCACAUGUUUGUUCACAUGUUUUGUGAACAAAAGAAAGGAAAAUGUUUUCCUUAAAAUAAGGAAAGGAAAACACUUUCCUGGCUUAAAGUGUAUUAUCUUCCUUUGACCGGAAUUUGAAUUCCUUUGACUAGUUUUCCUUAUAGUUGUCAAACAUUGGAAAGUGGGGAAAAUGGUUUCCAGGAAAAUGAAUUCCUGGAAACAAACAAGGCAUAAGGUUGAAGUGUGAUUAUAAACCCUUUUGAUUUGUACUAGAUUUUUUUUACCUGCGCUACGUUGUGGGAUGGGUUUAUUUUUUUAAUAUAAAAAAGAUAUUCAAAUAAUGAUAACAUGAGUGAAUUCAGAUUAACUUAACUAACCUGCGAUUCAAGUUAACCCUAGAGAAAUGAAAGGGAAAAAAUAGAAAGCUCAAGGCCUAAUAAAUCUAAUUUCAAAGGAUAAAAUUAAAAAAAAAGAAACAUGAAAGAAAAAAAACCCGAGUUAACCCAACUUUACUCUAUUAACCUACCACCCAUGACAUGAGAUUGGGAUAAGAAAUUUAAUUUUUUAAAAAUGACUUAGAAAAAAGGAUCAAAGCUAAAUAAAUAAAAAAACAUUGAAGAAAAACCAAGUCACCCUAGGUUAACCUAACAAACCUGUAACUUGAGAUAACCCUAUAGAAAGAAAUAAUAUAUAAAAUCAAAACCUAAUAGCCCUGCGUAAAAGGAUGAAAAAAAAAGAAAAAAAAAUCCAAUGCAACUUGUGUUAACUUAACUAACCCAUGACUCAGGAUAACCCUAGAUAAGGAAAGGAAAAAAAAAUAGAAAGCUCAAGACUCAAUACCCUAAAGUCAAAGGAUGAAAUUAAAAAAAUAAAACAAAUCAAAGUUAAAAUCAGGCUAAUCUUUAAAACCAUCAACUCUUGUCAUGAGACCAAGAUAACCUUACAAAAGACAAACAAAACUCUUCACCAUAAUAUUUUUUUUUAAAAAAUAGUAAUACAAUUAAUGAGGACCUAAUUUGAUCUAAAAACUAAUGAAAGAAAAUAAUAAGGGACUUAAUAAAAAAAUAAAAGGAUAAAAAAAUUUAAAAGAAUUAGGGCUAAAACUAGAUAAAAAAUGAAAUAAAAUGUUGAAGGACAAAUUGACAGAAAAAACAAAUUAAGAAAAGGAUAAAAAAAAAGCAAUUAUAAGAAUAAAGACCAAAAUUUGAUUAAAAAAAUAAAAUGUUAAGGGAAUAAUUGAAAGAAAAAAAGAAACUAAGAAAAAGGAUAAAAAAAAAGCAAUUAAAAGAAUGAGGAAUCAAUUUGAAAAAAAAAAGUGAAAUAAAAUGUUAAGGGACAAAAUUAAAAGAAAACAAAACAGGCCAUGAUAUGGAAAAAAAAUAGUAAAGAGAAUGAGUACUAUAUUUGAUAUAAAAACAAAACAAAAUCAAAUGAAAAAAGGAUGAAAUUGAAAAAAAAUCUAAAAAAAAAUCUAAAACAAUGAAAGACCAAUCAAAAGAAAGAGGAUUAUAAUUGAAAGACAAAAUGUAUUAGAGGACAACUUUGAUUUUUGGCUGACGUAGCACAAAUUUCAAGAAUUGAAAAGAGAAAACAAGGGGACGAAAAGAAAAGUCAACUGUCGACAAACCACCAUGAUUUGAGCAACACGCGCUACCCCAUAAGCUUUGCCUCCACCGGACACUUUAGACAAAAUCUUGGUUGGGAAAUUUUGGUCACUGCUUGACGAGCGCAGAUAGCGUCCACUCCCUAACACGCGUUGUUCACGGGCUAGUAGCCUUUUUUAAUUUAUGAAAAUAAUAAUUUGCCCUAAUCCAAAUAGAGUAUAAGAAAAACUAUAAUAAAAAUAGUAAAAUAUCCUUUGACCAUCUUUUUAUUUUAUUUUUACUUUGAAGUCGAUGAGGUAAUUGUACUAUUUGUAAAAAAAAAGAAAUUAUACAAAAGCUUUCUUAGCCUUUCAUAUUUUUUUUUUGUCUUUUAAAGGCAUUUAUUUAAUUCAAUUAUACUAAAACAAUGUAAACUACUAAACUUUCCCCAAUAAAAUUGCAAAUGAUCUUUGGGUUUUAUGGAAAAUACCAUUCUAGCACCACAAGUAAGGCAAAAACUUUAUACAAAGAAGGGCAAAAUAGUAAUUAUGCUGUCCAAGUCCAUAGUGAAUUACCUCAACAUCCACAACGAAACAAUGAUCAGUUUUAGAGUUUUUUUUUUAUAAUAUUUAUAAGAUAAUAUAUUUUAUGGCCUCACAUAGAAUUCAAAUGCUUAAUGAUAACUCAAAGAAAAAACUCAUUUGUCGACAAACUAAGCCUGCAAUAUUGUAAUUCUUUUGUUUCCUAAAUUAAGUGUAAAAGAUAAUUUUGUCCGUGAUCUAUUACACCACUUUAAAUAUGAUCCUUAAAAACAAAAAAAAAAUCCUACCAGGUCCCUCAUCUAUAGGAUAUUUACUUAUCAAUUCUCAAUUUAAUUUUUCCCCUUUAAAAUCAUAAAAAAAACUUAGUCAUUUUUUUCAAUGCAAUUGGAGCAAAUGAUCUCUUUUUUUCAUCUCUAUUUUUUUCUAGCGACUAUCUCUCAUCUCUCAUACAUAGAGACUAAAAUGUUGAAAAAAAAUAUCAAAGGACUAAAUCAAGUCGACAUUUGUUUGACAACGCAAUAACUCAAUGGUAAUCAAAUUGAUACAAAUUAUGAAACCUGGUCUAUAAUAAACACAAUGUCAAAAGAUUAAAUAAAAAAAUAAAAAAAAAAAUGAAAUCAAGAGCCACUCUAGAUUCCUUCUUAAUGUUUGCCCUUCAUGGUAUGUUGUUCUCACUAAAAUGGAUUUUAUGAAAUUUAUUAUGUUUUGCCUUAUAAAUGCAUGAAUUGAAGUUUAAUAAUCACAUUAAAACCUUACACACGAAAAACAACUUACCUGUAAUAAUAAUGGUAUCAGAAACUCUUUUGGUAAGCGAAUGGUUAUGGAUGUUAAGUCAUGACUUCGUCAUAGUAGAGCACCCUGUAGCUUUUUAAAAGAAAAAAACAAGGGACCUGUAAUGUUUAUGUUUGUUUGUUGCUGUGUCUAACAUAUACCACCAAUCGAUCUUGAAUCUGUGUUUAUAAUCACAGCUGAAAUUAUGUUUUUUUUUAAUUUUCUAUUUUUUUUAAUUUUUUUAUGUUUUUGAAUUGUUUUGAUGUACUGAUAUCAAAAAUAAUUUUUAAAAAAUAAAAAAUAUAUUAUUUUGAUAUAUUUCUGAGUAAAAACAUUUUAAUAAACAACCACUAAUAAACUUUCAAAUAUCAUCUUAACCAUACAUUUGAAUGGUCAUUCAAUAUUUCUAGUGUUCUUACUUAUUGGUGAAUUGAUGAUGCACAUGUUAUCAUCAAUAUUUGUAAUUUCAAAAUCACUUAUGUUGCUUCUACAAAAAAACCAAAAAACUAAUAAGGUUUUUUUUUAUCAUAAUUUUUUUUUCUUAUUUAGACUAUUUAUGAUAAGUGUUUUUUUAUUCAUUUUACGCUUUAAUUAAGAUUAAAAAUUUCUUUUAAACAAUUUUAAAGAUGCACUUCCAAUAUCCUGAUUACUAAAACAUAAAUCAAUCUUAAAAAAUAAUUUUUUAGCAUGCAUAAAAUGUAACUCAUUAAUUGUUUUUUCAAUUUUGAUUUAGUAUUGAAUAAGAAAACUUAAAAAGAUAUUUAUUAUACUAUAUUAAUUAAGUUUUUUUGUCAUGCUUCAUAACCCAUUUUUUACCCCCAGUUUUUUUCAUGUAUUUUCAAAUAUAUAAUUUUUUUAAAGAAUUUAUUUUAAAUGAAAUUUAGUCAAUUCCCAACGUUUUAUAUUUUUUUCAUUUUCAUUUAUUUUAUUUUAAGUGACAAAGAAAAAUAAAAAACUUAAAAACAAUAUAUAGUAAAAAGAAAAAUAAAAAAUUUAGGGAGUGAAAUCACAUGCAAAGGAAGAAAAAUGAAAGACUAGCAAAUGAAAAAUAAUAAUAAAUAAAUAGAGAAUCAAGAUGGGAUUGGAAAAACUGUAAAAAACAAAAAAAACCUAAUUCAAUAAGGAGAUAAAAUAGAAUCUUCCAAUAUUAUUAUUUUUUUUUGACAAAAACCCUUAACAAUAUAAAUAAACAUAAAAAAAAACCUAGAUGGAGAAAAAAAAAGAAGAAAAAACAUAAAAGGAGUCAACUUUAGAAACACAUAGACUAAGAGAGAGAUAAAAAAAGAGGAGAAAAGAUACAAAAAAGGGACAAAGAAAACCUUGCCACAUCUUUUUCAUCUUCUCUCCUCUCUCAAUCACAACUGCGAACCAUUGUUCUUUUCUCCCUCUUCACCACCAAUACCUCCACAAACAUCGACCAUGAUAGUUUCUCCCUCCACCACAUCUUUAUCUCUCUACCCGAUCACAAAACAUCCUUGUUAUUAACUAUAACCUUGGAAAUCAUAGCCACCACAUUAACUAAAAUCGCACUUAUCUCUCUUAUCAUUAUAAAACACUCCAUGGUAGCAACCCUUUGGCAUUCAAUAACCAUGAUCAUAACCAAUAAAGAGAAAAUUGACAAAUAAAAUUUAUCUUUUCAUGUCAACCUCCCUUUUCAGAUCACGACAAGCUUUAUCAUCAACGUAGAAAGGAAAAGAAGGAGCAUGAGAACUUGAUCUAGUAGGUUUAAGGUUUUCAACCUUGUCAUUUUGUACAGUUUAUGUGUUACUUCGUUUACAUGCUUGUCUAGCUCCUGCACAUGACUCCCAUCUGCCACGACUACCCGUUUUUUUAGUAUCUUUUGUUCGAUUCCAAUCGCUCUUGAAGGUCAAAUACGAAUCCUAAUACAUUGAUUCACUUGUUUUUAUCAAUUUGCAAUAUGUGGUUGAUUUCCUAUUCGUAGAUGUUGUAUUUGCCUACAAUGAUUUGCUUGUGUUGAGUAAUUUAUAAUACGAGGUUGAUUUUCUAUGUGUGGAUGUAUUUGUUUUUUUUAUUGUGAGAUUUGUGCUUUAAUUUUCUUAAAAUGAAAAGUUAUGUUUUAUUUUUAUUGAAGAAUUGACCUUGAGUAUGGUAAAAUGGUUUUGUCUUCAUAUGACCAUUUAAGUAUGGUAAAAUGGUUUUUAUUGAAGAAUUGACCUUGAGUAUGGUAAAAUGGUUUUUAUUGAAGAAUUUGCACAUCCAUUAAUUAGUCUUACUUUCAAACCCGAUGGUUUUUAUUGAAGAAUUUGCACAUCCAUUAAUUAGUCUUACUUUCAAACCCGAGUUAUGUUUUUUUCUUCAUAACCUUUUCAAUUAUGGACUGAAAAAAUAGAUUUUAAAAUCAAUUUAGGGGAUUUUUUUAUAAGGUUUUGGAAAAGAUAAGAAUAAUUGAUUUAUAACUUGCAAUUUAGGCAAAAUCACAUCACAAGUAAAGAGAAAAUGAAUCGAUUGAAUAUGCAAGACUAGGCUUUAGUUUUUAUGAUAUUUUGUGUUCUUAGAUAGGAGAGAAGAAAGAGAUUAUAUUUUUAAAUUAAUUUGGGAUUUUUUAGGAGCAUAUUUUGGCUAUUUAUGUUAUAUUAUAUAGGAGGGUAGGUUUGGGUUGUUUAUGUUCACAAGUGCCUUUUAAAAAUAUUUUGCUUGUUGGUUUUUUUUUUUGCCCCUUUAGUCUGAUAGUUCUAUGUUUUGAUAUAAAACUUUAUUUAAUUCACAUUCCAAUUCCCGGGUUUGAAAAAUGAGAUUUAUUGGAAAAUUAUGGAGAGAGAAAGUAAUGGAAUGGUGAGAUUUCGUUGAUAAAAGGUUAAAUUUGGUGUCAAUGUGUUUUUCUUGGCAUAAGAAGUGUUAUUGAGGUAUUUUUGAGCUUUUAUGUUGUUAGAAAAAAUAGAUCGAGGUUAAGAGAAUUUUUUUUUUUAUGCUUUUGAGUUAAUUUAGAGGUUUUUAAGUUGAUAAAUAAAUUUAUCGUGAUUUAAAGGGUAUUUUUGGAAGUAAAAAAAUUGAAAUUUAAUUUUUUAAGUCCUAAAAAUCCUAGCUUGAUUUUCCACCAUCUCUCUAAUGGGUGAAAUUUGAACUCACAAAUAACACAUCAUCUACUUUCUUUUUUAACUCAUUAAAAAAGUCUAAAGGCAUGAACAUGGCCUACUUUUAGGUUUCUUUUUAAUUUCUUUUUAAUUGAAAUUUAAUUUUUGUAAUAUUAAAUAAUUUAAAAUAUUUUAGAUAUUAUUUUAUUAAAUGCCUUUAAAUUUUUACCUUGUUUCUGAAAAAAUAUAUCAGUCUUUUUAUAACAUUAAGAAAUGUUUUUUUUACAACUUAUAAUGAUUUUUUAUAAUUUUAUUUGGUUUCUUUUCCAUGUGCAUGUAUUUUUGCCAUCAUAUAAUUAAAUAAAACGAUAAUUUUUAAAAAAUAAAGUUAUUAAAAUCAAUAAGAUGUGUGAGCUUGAAUCAUGAUUUUAGUGAGUUAACUCAAGUCAAUCCAAGAUGUUUUCAUCUCAAUAUUUUUUAAAAAAAUGUCAUCUUUAAUUAAUUUUAAACAAAAUUAAUUUUUUAUUAGUUACCGAGAUUACCUUUGAACCCUUUAGAUUGAGCAGAUCAUAUCAAAUUAAUUUUCACAUGGUUUAAUUUAAAAUUUAGAUAAAAAUUUAAAUUAAAGGUUUUAAAAAUUACUUAACCCUAUUAAAGAAUCCACUAUAACAAUACAAGAACAUUGUUUUUCCAGCUGUGAUGUCUUUUAGUAAGGAAACGUUUCAGAAUGUAAAUGAUAUUUUUUAAAAAAUUAAUUUUUUUUUGUUUAAAUUUAAUUUUUUUAUAUUUUAUUUUUUUUUGAAAUUUUAAUAUUAAAAAUAACUUAAAAAUUAAAAAAUAUUUAAUUUAUUUUUAAACAAAAUUAUUUUUAAAAAAACCACCACUAAUAUAAUCUUAAAUAUUAUAAAAAAUGCAAAAACAAUAUAAAACACAUUGUAUCCAGAAAGAAAAUAAGAAGACGACUCGCACGCGCACACUGAGAGAGUCAGAUAUUUACCUGCAAAAACAGAAUGAUGAACAAAAAAACCCAUUUUUGAUAAGCUAAGAAAGAAUUCAAAUCUCGCUCUCGUUGGGUUUUAAAUCUCAUUUUCGGAGCCAAAUCCAUUUCUAAAACUUUUUCUUUCUUUUGUUGGCUAAUGUAGGUUGCCUUCUGUUAAUGUUGAGGUUUUGUUUUGUCUAGUUUGGUAUCAUAAUUCUCUUAUGAAUCAGUUUCCCAUGGAAUUCCAUUGAUUUGAUUUAUUAGAACAGAUAGGUAAGAAUUGAAUUCCCUUUCGUUAUUUGAAAGGAUAAAUGGGUAUUAGUGCAUUUGGGAUUUGAUUGAAAUUUAAAAACUGGGUUUUGUUUUCAGGAGUAAUUGCUGGUGGGUUUUGCGACUUAGACCCUGAUUUUGAGGAAACAGGGGGUUUCUUUCUUUUGGUUUGGCAUUGCAUAAGGAGAGGGGAAGUAGAGUUGUAGGUAUUAAAAAUCAGGAGAGAAGUGGGUUUUGGCUUUUGACAGAGAAUGAUUUGUAUAGGAGAAAAGGUGACAUGAGAAGUAGAGUUAUUGUUGGUCCAGAGGUACAAUGAAUGGAGGGUCAUUCGGUCAAAGGGGGAGUUAUGGAUCAUUGCCUUGCUACGGAAAAUUAUCAAAUAUUGCACGAAAACAAUCUUCGAAAAUGCCGCCAGUGAGUUCAAGGGACAAGGAGCGGGUUCUCCUGGUUGUUUGCCGGUGCUUGGGGCGUAGAAGAGUUGCAAUGUUGCUCUUGGUUGCACUUGCUCUCCUAGUUUUCAUCUGGGGUUCCCUUACAGUUAGCAAAGGUAUGGUUCAAACAUGUGUCCUUUCCUAUGAUGUAAAAUGUUUGAGUGUUUUAUGUAUUCUUUUGUUCUACCUGUCCUUAUAUUUUGGUACUGUUGCACUGAGUUACAGGAGGAUGAAAGUUUUCUAAUUACAAGGAAAUAAUCACUUAACAAAGGAAUAGUUUAGGCACCUAUUUAUUAGUUCAUGCUGACUAUUCUAUAUUUAACAGAAAAGAUAAAAUGUAGUAGUGUUUUAAUUCUAUGAGCAUCUUUUAAUUUUUCCUGUUGUUUGAAUGGAAAUGUUUAAGUCAUGUAUUAUUCAUGUCUUGAGAGCAGCUGUAGCAUGCAGUGAGGAGGGGGGGUGGGGAACAAGAAAUAAAGAGGUGGAGGUGGUUCUUCAUGAAUUUUGGUUCCCAUAUAGGUGUGGGCCAUGAUUGAAUAAUGGCCUUGUUUCUAUUAGUUCUCAUUCUGUGCUAAAUCCUUGACAGGAAAGCUGACAGCCAGAGAGUCUUCUUCUUUCUCUCUCUCUAUUUUCAAUCUUGAAUGGAAAGCAUACGAAGACAAAGUUGUCUUCUUGAAUUUAAAACAGGAGAUAAUCAAUCGAUUACAAAUAUUGAUCAGAAUGAAAGAUUCUGUUAUCAAGUUAUUUUUCUGCAUUUAAUUGAUGAUGUCAAAGUCCUGAAAUACUUGGGAUUUUUACUGCUAUUUGUUUUGCUUUAGACUGGUUGAGGCAAUAACUAAUGUGCAUUUUGUGUUAUGGAUGCCCCAGAAACCACAAGUCCAACUGUUAGACCAAUGGAUAGUAUACAUUUUGACAACAGUGAUAUAAUAAGCCAUCCUUCUGUUGCCUGUCGUUCUAGAGCUAAUAGCAUAUUGGACCAUCCAUGCCACAAGUUUGCUCUCCCUCCUCCCCCUCCUUCUGGUGGACGACGGUUUGGACCACGCCGUAAGUUUUGGGUUAUUUUGGUUGAAGUGUUCCUUAUUUUCUUGUUUUUCUGAUCAUUCUAUUAAUAUAUUGGAUUGGACCAUAAGUUUGAGUUGCUACAUCUGUGCGUCAUUUGGAAGUAAAAAAUGACUUCUGGCCUGAAUGUUACUAAAAGUCAUGUAUAUAAUUUUUCUUGCACCAAGAAUGUGCUCUCACAUUUCUGUAACAGAGAAAACUGGCAUGUUUUUGCAAUUAAUGUUAUUAUCUUUCUCAUCAGUGUUUGCUACAGAAGACCUCUUGCAUGUUCAAUUGUAAAUUGAUACAAAAUAACCCUCAAUACCUUUGUAUAAAGUAUGCCAAAAUCUACUCUCUUAGUUGAAGCAAAAAAGUGCUCACAUGCAAUUUAUUUCUGUUGGUGUGGUAUUUACUUUGUUGUCACUCAUUUGUUAUGCAGCUUGUCCAGUAUGUUACAUUUCUGCAGAGCAAGCUAGAGCUAGCAUUCCAUGCUCCUCAUCUGCAUCACCAGUGCUCCGCAACUUAACAUACGUUGUUGAUGAAAACCCAAUUAAAAUUGAAUCACAUGGAGGUUCAGAAUUUGGUGGAUAUCCUUCUCUAAAGCAGAGGAAUGAAUCUUUUGAUAUACAAGAGUCGAUGACAGUGCACUGUGGGUAGGAGUCCUUCUCACCUAUCAUCUUUCUGUAAAAUUAUAAGCAUUGAAGACUGUUUUGCAUGGAUCUCAUGAUCUCUGUCCUCCGUUAUUAUACAAUGUCCUGUAACAAAUACGAAUAACUUAUUUCUUAUAAACACAUAUUUUUCUGUUGGCCGUAUUUUUUAUCAGAUUUGUUAAAGGAAAUAGACCUGGCCGCCAGACUGGAUUUGAUAUUGAUGAAGCUGACCUGAUGAAAUUGGAAGAGUUUCACGAGGUCAUUGUUGCAUCAGCCAUAUUUGGUACUGUUUAGCACUGGACAUUCUGCAAAGAUUUCUUGUUUUAUCCAUGUUUUCUACUUUCCUCAUCAUUGCACUUUCCCAGGGAACUAUGACAUAAUACAACAGCCCAAGAACGUUAGUGAAGCAGCUAGGAAAAAUGUUCCUUUUUAUAUGUUUAUUGACGAAGAGACAGAAACAUAUUUGAAGAAUUCCAGCGCCCUAGAUAGCAAUAUGAGGAUCGGACUGUGGAGGAUUAUUGUCGUCCAUAACAUCCCCUACACUGAUGCAAGACGCAAUGGAAAGGUCAGUUUGCAUUUGUUUGGUUGCUUUGCCUGCUUCUUUCAGAUUUCUCUCUUUAAUUUCCUUGGGCAUCCAAACCUGGGCUGGAUUACAUCACUUUCUUCUUAAUUUUUUUUCUUCCCCUUGUUCUCCUGCUUCUCUGUUAACUCAUUGAAAACAAAGCUAUCAGUUUGUUAACAAAUUUCUGUUUAUCUCUUGGUGAGUCUUCAAGUAAUUUCAAUUUUGGUGCUAAUCCUAGCAUGGCAGAAUUUCCUGAAUAAAUUUCUGUUGAUAUAUUAAUCUAAAAGAUUUUCCUUUUUUUUUCCUUUUCAUUUUUGUUUUGGGCUAUGAUAUUCAAUAGUACCUCAUACUUCAAGUCAUUUUCUUUUCAAUUACUGAAAACCUAAAAUGUUGCUGCAAGAAGUGAUGGAUGCUGUCGUUGUGCUAUGUAAAUGGACAGGUUCCAAAGCUUUUAUUGCACAGGCUCUUGCCUAAUGUUAGGUAUUCCAUAUGGAUAGAUGGAAAGCUCCAGCUUGUUGUGGAUCCAUAUCAAGUUCUUGAGAGGUAUAUUGUUUGUGCUUAAAUUAAGUGGUCAUUGAAUGGAGUCAUUCAGAUAUGUAAAAUGGCUUGUGAAUUCAGUGCAUCUUUUUUUUUAAUUUUUCUGGUAUCUUCAAAUUGAGAUGUAUGGAAAUUUUGUUGUACCUGUGUGUGUAUACUCAUUUUCUUCUGUUAUCUGUCACUGUACCAAUUUCUGGUCCCAACAUGGCAUCACUUCAAAAGUUAUGAACCAUCAUAAGUUUCAUUGGUUCAUCAAUAGGCAACUUACGGGAUUCUGGAAAAAUGCAUGGAAAAUAUAAUUAUAGCCGUAUGCUCUUUUUAUCAGCUGUCUUGCAAUGUUAACAUUAUUACACUGUUAUUGAUCCUACAUUUUCAUUUAAAGCAUUCAAAAAAGGAACUGCUUUUCUUGCUUGGGACAUGGGAAUGUCAUCUUUCUGUUGGUUUACAGUAACUCAUGCUUUGGCAAUGUGUUCUGGAUAUGUUGACUCAUGUUAAGACAGUUUUUUUAGUGUUAGCAUUUACCAUAUAGAUCUUCAUGCAUAUUGCAUUUCUGGCCUCUAGAAGAAGGGGAAAUAGGUAGAUAAUUUUAGUAUAAUUGCAUAAUCUAUGUGUUUGAAUCAUACCUGAGCUGUCCUUUGGUUCAGAUUCUUGUGGCAGCAAAAUGCCAGUUUUGCAAUCUCAAGACACUAUCAUCGCUUUGAUGUGUUUGAAGAGGCUGAAGCUAACAAAGCUGCAGGAAAGUGUGACAAUUCAUCCAUUGAUUACCAGAUUGAAUUUUAUAAAAAAGAGGGUUUAUCGCCAUAUUCCAAGGCUAAGCUUCCAAUAACCAGUGGUAGGUGUAUAAUCCUAUGUGUGUGCGCACGCGCUUCAUGUUCUUGAAGAUUUGUAUUUCUUAUGUUUUCUGCUCAAUGACUGACCUUUUGCAGAUGUUCCUGAAGGUUGUGUUAUCAUAAGGGAACAUAUUCCCAUCACAAAUCUGUUUACCUGCCUGUGGUUCAAUGAAGUUGAUCGGUUUACUGCCAGAGAUCAGUUAAGCUUCUCCACUGUGAGGGAUAAAAUAAUGGCUAAAGUUGAUUGGAGCAUCAAUAUGUUUUUGGAUUGUGAGAGGCGUAAUUUUGUGAUUCAGGUACAUGUUUAUGUGUUGUCUUUCUAUUAUCAGGGGAGAUGAAACCAGUGCAUCUAAAACUAAGCAAUUUGUUAUUGUUCUGCUCUAAAUGAACCUUAUAAGUGAACUUUUCUAAUGAAGUUGGCCAAAAAAGCUGAAUGACUUUAAUUUUAUUGUUAUAUUAACUUAUGUAUUUUUUUUCCUUCCAUGUUUAACAUUGAGCAGCACCUCCUUCCUCUGUUGAAAGAGGAAAGUAUGACAAUUUAUUAUUGGUCUGCUCUAUGUUGCCUGUUUGUCUUAUUUAUUAUUGGUCUGAUUUUAGCCGCAAAUGUUCCUUGUUUCCCAAACACAGAGUUCUGGCAACUAAAUGGAUCCUCUGACAACAGUGUAUUGAACAAAGCUGUCCAGCUACUAUAUACAGUGCACGAGACUGAUCUCUAUGGGUGUCUUUGAUCCCUUCUCUAUUUUUUGAUCCUCCAAGUGUUUCUUUGGGUGUUUAAUGUGGUUACUCCAUGCAUUUUAUCAUGUUCUCCAUACAAGUGACAUUUGAGGCUAAAUUCCGUCCUGGGAGUGCAGCUAGUAUGCUUUGACCAAAUGAUGCUAAAAGCAGGAACGAUCAAAUAAAAACAAUCUUUAAUGGGGAUAAUUAACUUGGAUUUAAAAAAUAAAACUCCUAUGCUUUGGGAUGCUAAAUCCUACUACUAUUAGUUUCUCUGUAACAAAAUGCCACUGUUUUAUGGUACUUUUAUGCCACUUGAUUUUUCUUUUGACUUGCAGGCUUACCACAAAGAUUUAUUGGACCACAUGCCACCUCCAGUUGCUCAUGUUAUUCGACAUCCACCACCAUUACAUCGUGAUAGUUCAGCUGGGAGAAACCCAAGUAAAAAUUCAAGGCGUGGAAGAGAUAGGAGAUCUGGUUCAAGGCAACACCGCAAGGCUGCUGCGGGUAACAGGGAGAAGCAAACCUUUUUGUAGGAGAGGUAAAAGUAGGUGUUUUUUAUUUUUUUUCAUUAUACUGCACGGGGAAGAUGGAUUUGGUUAGAAGUAUUUAGAAUGACCCAAAAACAAAAGCAACCGAAAUUUUGUUUGAAAUUAUUGAUAUCUCAUAUUCUUUCAUUGUUGUAAAUACUUCAUACCAAAUAAGUCCACACCAGCUGCAAUCAUUGAAUGCUUCUUGAUUUUCAUUUACUUGGUGCACGAACAUGCAUUGGCCAUCACUUGUGUAUCUUGAAAAUGUCAGCUUUCAUGCUUUAUGCGUUGUCCAGUUAUAGAAAUGGAAGAUAUACUUUCUACAUUGGCCAUCACUUGUGUAUCUUGAAAAUGGCAGCUUUCAGGCUUUUUGCGUUGUCCAGUUAUAGAAAUGGAAGAUAUACUUUCUAUCCUCUAUACAAUAAAUACCGUGCCAUCCUGAGUGCGGAGCGACUAAUCCUUGUUCUUAGGAGUGUUGUUCAUCUUCUCUUUUGAGCUAUUAAGAUGCACUGCUUAUUCUGCUUUUCUAAGCUUGAAUCUGAUCUUUCCUUCAUGUGUUCUUCCAAGGUUUUGGGAAUGAGUUGUUUAAUUCUAGGGCAUUUGUAAGAUGAGAAAAUCUUAGUGUUUUCAGGCCUACGGAAUGUUUCCUAACCUGUGACUGUACAAGUAAAUAGGAAGAUUUCUGAACUGGCCUCGUCCAUGCUCUUACCUCAAUACCCAGAUUGAAAAUUUUGGUACCCUAUAUGUUGAAUCUCAUGUUUCUCCACUCUUAUCAAAUCCUCAACUAAAUUCAAAAGCAGGAAUUGAAAGUGGAAGGAUAGAUUAUCCUUCAACCCUACAGACAGCACAUAACAUGAUCCUUCAACCCUACAGACAGCACAUAACAUGAAAGGGUCUCACAGGAGAGGAGAGGAGAGGCCUAUCAGCAAGAUACAAGUUCCAGUGGUGAGAAUCGACCAUACACUUAAAAUAACAUACAAUGAAGUAUACCUGCAAAAUAUAACAGCUGUAUUGAAUACAAUAAUGGCUUCUUCUCUGUGAUGAUAAUAUAAUAAUGUGGUUUUGUCAUUCGAUUUGCAUACAGAACAGAGCAAUACAGCUUGAGAUAUGUUAAAAGUAUUCUAUGGAUCCAUUUUUUCAAGUGCAUGCCGAAAGCACUUUUGACAAUUAAAAGCAACCUCAAGUUUUAGCAAGUUCGAGUUAAACUAUAAAGGUUCACACUUUUUAGGCAUUGAUUCUCAUUUUCUGUUAAUUAUUUCUUACUCUUACAGUUCAUUUUAUAAACAAUUUUCUUAAUUCGAUGAUAAAAGAAAUAUCUUCCUAGUAUCAGUUAAAAUUUGAUAACACCUGCAGCUCAACUAAUAAGAUGCAUCGAAGAUGAUGUUGAAGUUAACAAAUUGUCAUGACACUUCCUGUUAGCUUUUUUCUCUUGUUUAAAAUUAUUAUUUUGAAAUUAUUUUAAUAAGCUAAUAUUAAAAAUAAAUUUUAAAAAAUAAAAAAAAUAGGACAUGAUAAAAGUUAUAUUUAUUACACCCUCUGUAGAUUUCUCGUGAGGAAGAAAGGUCGUGUGAACUUGAUCCUCCUACAUGACGAUACAUGGAUUCUAACUUCCAAAAAGCAAAAAUAAAAAAUUCCAAAAAGAGCUUUUCUUCUACAUUUAAGAUAAUUAGAAACACAAAGGGUAGAGGGUCGGCCAGUGAACAUGUGACCCACAAAUGUGGGAUUGCUAAGCACAAGAAGCAAAGAAAGGCAUAAAAAAACGAAGGCAUUUUGUGCAUGGGAGGAAGGUAUGGUAUGGGAUUAUUGAGAGCAAGAAAUCUCUAUGGAUUGCCACUUGAAAGGAUAUAAAACACCAAAUUAUUGCUUUCUCUACCACCUCUCUGUCCAAAUCUACAUACCUUAAUUAAAUAAGUCUGAGCCCACAGAAUUAUUAUAUCCAUUAAUUUAGCUCAAUUAUUAUAUCACCCAUAAAUGUCACAUCCAGAUCAGCACCAAUAAUUUUACCUUCCGUUCCAGUUUCAUUUCCCUUCAAUUUGUUUACAGCUUUAGGGUUUUGGGAUGCAAAAGGGUUUCCUGGAUCUGUCUCUCAACAUCUUGAAUUUGAGGUUAGGAUCCUAUAGUCUUUUAUUGGUGGAUUAAAGGGGUCUUAUAUUGAAAUUUGAGGUGGGGUUUAUGUGGGUUUUUCUUGUUUAAUACACUUUGAUUCAAGAUUUGUUUUCUUGGUACAAUUGGUGGGGGAGAUCAAGUUAUGGUCUUGAUUAAUGGGUUUAUCUUGGUUUUUGAGUCUUGGGUUGCUAUCGAAUUCUGGGCUUUAAAUCUUGAUCAAUGAUUCGAUCGUCUUUCUUCAAGAUCACACAUUUAAAAAAGUAGGUUUGAGGGCUCUUUCAAUAGGGUCGAUGUUACUCUUUUCUUGUAUUGUACUUUGGUAGCUAUGGUUUAAAGGCCUUUUCUUGUUGGGUUGAGCCAUUGUUUCUGAUAGAGUUAAAGAAAGGAGAGGGGAGAGUAGUUCUUUUUGGUGCUUGAUUAAAUGGGAUCCUCUGGCUUCUUUCUGAUAUGUAUGCUUCAUUCUGUGAUGGCUCUAACUUGUGGAGCUUUGAUGAUGUUUUACACAAAUGAGGCCACUGUGUUUGGUCAUGGCAUUGAAAUAGCUACAAAGCUUAAAGGUUCAACACCACAUGACCAACUCCUGGUCCAAACCUCUGAUUCCUUUUCUGGGUUGCUAUUGUUUGCCAUUGGGUUCCUUUUGUUCAUGGUGGCAUUUGUUAAGGACAGAGAGUUCCAGAGUUUCUUUGCUAAAGGUUGUGUCUUGCUACAUGUUUCAAUGGCUUUCUGGAGGAUUUACUUUGAGAGGAAGCUUGAAGAUCUGGCUCGUGAUUUGCCUAGACUAGUUGUUGGUGACAUUGCAUUGGCUCUUUCUUGGGUUUUCUUUCUUGUUUAUUCUUGGAGAGAGAAGUAUGAUUAGCAAGCUACAAGAGUCAGAUAGCCAGUCCAUCAUCGAAUAAAUUUGAGCUGUUAUUGUGGUAGCGUUACGGGUUCUGCCAAGUGGGAUCUUUUUUCCUGGCUCUGUUCUGUAAAUUACAGGGUGAAUCUGGAACUUUAAAGAAAUGGACGCAAAGCAUGGAUCGGAUUCUUGGUUAGUGCGCGUUUUAAAUUCUUGAUUGGAUCUUGAACAAGCUUGGAUUCCAAGAAAAGCUGGAGAUGAGAUCUGGGGGCUGCCAUUUUGUUUUUAAUUGAGAAUCUUCAACUUGAGAAGUUUCUUGCACUUACUGUGGUGCCUCUGUGGGCUUCUUGUAUUGAAUUUCAAUGGCAUUUGUAAAUCAACCUUCUUCAAAUAGAUAUUUGAUAAUAAUUAGAAAUGUGAAUCCCAUAAAAGUUUACUCGUUUGCUGCCAUCUCUUACUUUCCUGGCAAUCUUUUCUUGCUAUUUUUCCAGUCUAUUUGAUUUACUGAUAUUGCAAUUUGCACGCAUCCGCAGCUUUGAGUUUGGGACAAAACUAUGCCAAGACAUUUCCAGGAUUUUGUUAAGCAAUCCGAGGGAGGAAUGAUUUGUCUAAUUAAUCAAACGGCAAGAACUGUAAAUGGAGUCACACCAACUUUUAUUUUUUUAUUUUUUGGUUGUAUAUAUUAUAUGAAUUCUCAUCAUAUUAUAUCAUAUUAUUCGAGCUAUUUCCUCUUUGCAUUUCAAGAAUAAUUUGGAAAAAAAAAUAAUUUUAUUUAUUUAUUUUAAAUUAAUAAUUUUUUAAUAUUUUAAUAUUAUUUUGAUAUAUUGAUAUUAUUUAUCAUCAUAUUUUACAAGUUAUUUUGUAUUUGUAUUUUAAAAAUAUUUUUUUAAAAAAAUAUUAUAUUAUUACUAUUUUUAUUUAUUUUAAAUUAAUUAUUUUUUGGUGUUUUCAUAUUUUUUUAAUGUAUUAAUAUUAAAAAUAAAAAAAAUAUUAUUUUAAUAUAUUUUUAAAUAAAAAUUAUUUUAAAAAAUAAUUAUUAUUAUAAAAUCAAACAGAAUUUUAAUCUUUUAAUUUAUUGAAGAUUGACCUUAAUUUUUGUUGCAAACAUAAAAAAAAAAAGUUAUAAAGAAGGGGGAUUAUACGACUUCUUAUCUUUUCCGAUGCUGAAAUUUUAUCAUUCUAAAAAUAAUAAUUAUUAUUCCUAUAAUAAUAUUUUUUAUUUUGAAAAAUAACUCUUAAAUUUAUAUGGAAGGAAAACUAAAAUUUAUUGAAAAUUAUUUUUAGUUGGUUUGAGAGUGUGAUUAUUUUUUAAAAUAUUUUUAAUUUAAAAAUAUAUUAAAAUAAUAUAUUUUUUAUAUCAUCAAAUCAAAUAAUCUAAGAAAAAUUAAUUUUAUUAAAAAAAAAGAUUUAGCUUCUGUUUCAGCCGCAAUCCGAGUGCUUAUUCUACGUUAAAAAGAAAAGUAUAUGCUGUUAUUGGACCAUGAAGGCUCGGCCCACGGACGCCACAACAUCUUGUCUAGGGACCCGUUUCUUUCUUCUUCUUCUUCUUCUCUCUCUCUGAAGUUUCUAGCAUUCAACCACAACAGAAACCCUGCAGAGCCCCAACUCCUGAAACCUUUGACAAAAUUCUAACGGUAACUUAUUCUUUUCUUUUGCUCUUUCUAUGUUUCCUUGUGUUCAUCUGUUCAUUUAUUGUCUUUUAAGUUGUAGAUGGUCUGUUAUGGUUUAGUGUUUUGCUUUGUUUCUGGUUUUAUUGUUUGAAUAAACUUUUUUCUUUUUCUUUUUUCAGAAUUGUUAUUUGCUUUUGUUUUUUCUUUAAUUCUAAUUGUUAUGAGGAAAGGUCAUCAAAAGCUCAAAUGGUUUUAUCUUGAAGAUGAUUUUUUAGUCAAGAAUGCAAUUUUGUAAUGGCAAAUGAUUAUAAUUGGUAUCAUUAAUUGAUUUUGGUUUCUGGGUAUAUGUUUUGCAUAAAUUUCAAUAUUUAGGUUCCGUUUUAAAGAAGAUACUGUAGUUUUCAAGAUAGUUGAGAAACUGAGAACAUGAUAGACAUGAUCUUUCACUGCUAUGAAAAGGAUGAUCAUGCCGGAGUUCUUAGAGAAAAAGGUCGGAUUUUUACUCGAGGAAAAUGAAUUAUUUAUUUUUUUAAAAAAAAAAGUUUGGUUACUUGAAGUUAUUGAUUGGGAAGCUUUCAUACUGUUGGUUCUGAACUUGGGUGAAGCGCAAUUUUGAACUUUUUAAGUUUCUAUUUUCUGUAUGUUGAUUUUGGGUAUAUAGUUAGUCAGUUGCAUAGAGUACUGCUAUAUAACACAAAAAUAAGUUAGCGAAAAGUUCACAAGCAGAUAAAGUGGCCAGAGAAGUGAUUUCGUUCAACUUUUGGGCUAUUUAUUUUUUGUGCCUGUUCGUGUCCUAUUUGUUACAAAAUAUUCGUGUUAUACAGCUUUCUUCAAUUGGGUAAUUGAGAAGCUUGGUUGAGUUAAGUUGCUUCCUGGAUUUAAAAAGAAAUGGGGUGUCUUUUUUGAGUGGUUGUUUCCUUGAACCCAUAUAUAAGUGCAUUUAUAUUAGGCUUUUGUGAUUGCUUCUCAUGACUGUGUCAGAAUCAGAUUCAUCGGUUUGAUUGAGUAUAAUGUUGACAGAUUUUUGGCCAAAUGUCUAAUUUUUAUGAGGGGAAAUGGGAAUAUGAACAAAAACAAACCUUUCAUGUUGUUGAUUUACCACGCGGAGUACUUAAUCAGGUCUUAAGUUUCUGUCUUAGUAAGCAAAACAGCACUUAAUGGUAUGGCAGUGUUUCAAAUUGUUUGAUGGAGUCGGAUAUCAUACUGAAUUGCUUGUGCUAUGAGCUGCAUUAGAAGGAUGAUUAGUGAUCCCUUUGUAGGAAAACAAAUUGGGAUAUGAGCAAAUCUCAUAUGGUGGAGGACAGUCAUGCAAUGGAACAUCUGAACAAAAAUUUUGAAUUGUUUUAGUGGAGUUGAUUGAUUGGACAAUUUGUAGAACAAGGACUCCAGGUGGCAAAGGCAUUAAUUGGCAAAAAGAGAGAAAAGAAAAGGUGCACUUUUUUCUGAUGAAGAAAAAGAUGUCUCUAUUCACAACAGAAAAAAUCUCCUCUUUUUUUUUUUUCUGAUGAACCAAGCAAUUGCAAGCAGCUAGUAAUGAACAACAAACAAUACAGUAAUGAAGAAAUAGAUGUCUCUCUAUUCACAACAGAAAAACUCUCCUCUAGUGAAUUGUAUAAUCAUUGGAAUUAUAACAACGAAAAAAAACCUAUGUAAUGAGUUUAUAAAUAGAGUAGAGGCUCUUGAAUGAUUUUCUUCAUUCCUUUCUUUAUUUCUUUAUGCCUUACAUGUGUUUUCUGCAGAUUUGUGAUGGGUGGACUGCCUUUGCAAAAUGCUUCCCCUACCCCAGUUGUCAGCCAGGUGUCAGUAAUUACAAAUUCUACUAAAGAAUCAAAGCCCAAGAAGAAGAUCUGCUGUGCUUGCCCUGAAACUAAGAAACUAAGGGACGAAUGCAUUGUGGAGCAUGGUGAAGCUGCAUGCGCAAAAUGGAUUGAGGCUCAUCGACUGUGCCUCCGUGCUGAGGGCUUUAACAUUUGAGUUUGGUAGAUAUGGUUUAGUUCAUAAAUCAAUACCAUUUUGGAAUAUAGAAUACUUGUUUUGGAAUUACACAUACUGAAUAGGAGGAAUAAAGCUAGAAAACACAGGUUUUCUUGACCUUCUGUACUUGCAGUCAUUUUUAUCUUCUUGAAUUAUGAUUUCUUUCCUUCCUCUGUGACAAUUGAAAAUGAUCAGAAUCCUUGGGUGGGGUUGAUAUUGUGUUGUCUCUUCUCUUUGUCAGUGUUAUCUGAUUAUUUUUUGAACCUGUGAUUUUACAGGCAGAGGAAAGUUGUUCCUCUGAUGUAUUGCAUUCCUUACAUGCCAAUAACUCUCCCAUUUGUGAUUCCUUAUUUAAAUUCCAUUACGGUGUUAUGUAUUGUUCUGAACUUCUGAUGAUAGAUUAUAGACUCUCAUCUCGUACUUAUGCAAGCUUAUCCUCACAUGUUGAUUGUUAUCCUUACAAGUAGCAGUUGCUAAGGAUGAAGUGAAAAGUUAUAAUCUGAAGUGUAUUGUCCAGAAUUAGACAUUCUCAUCAACUUUGCUGCAACCUGAAUUAUCCUCUCUGUCACUUUUGAGCCAUUAUAUCUCCCUUGAACUCAAGUGAGCUUGUCGAAGGGCUGAGAAGCAACUCUGAGAGGAUAACUCUGGGUUAGAACGUCUAACUUGGACAAUGCAUCUUCAGACAAUAACAUCUCUUAUCUUCUUAUUUCAUCUUUGCAACUUCUAAUCACUGCAUGCCAGGCCAGUUCUAUCUUCUUUGUCAAUAUCGAGAACAGAUUCUCCUAGUUUUAUAACUCGCGAGUUCUAUCUUUUUUAUUCAUUGCUUCCUAUGCUAAUUGUCAUUUAGUUCAGAGAACAGAUUCUCCUUUUUUUUUUUUCCUUCCUUAUCUGUGUCCAUUGGCUAUAAAAUGGAAAAGGUAAAUAAGAAGAGAAAUCUAGACGUGUGAGUUCAAAGAGUUGGUUGACUGCAAGAAUUUCAAACUGGAAGACAUAUUAGGUCAUCUUUCAUGGUAUUUCAAAGCUUGUACACUACAUUUCAGAUUGUUUGCCAAAACUUCAGUGAUGAAACAGGAAAAUGGAAAAAACCCAGUCUUCUUCUCAUGUUUCUUUUACGUUUUAUGUUUGUAGUCUAGUGAUAAGUUUAUGCCCCUCCUUUAUGGUAUUUGCACUAUUUUGGUCGUUCUACAUGCUGCGGUUAAUUUUCGAUUCUAUUUGGUUUUUACUCAAAAUAAAAAAAUAAUAAUAAUAAUAACUAAACCAAAAGUUUUUAUUAUUUUAAAUUAAUAACCGAAACUGGUUCAAACUAGUUAUUUUAGUUCGGUUCAGUUAAUUGAAGGAAAAAACCGAUUUAAUAAAACUAUCGAGUGUUAAAUCCCCUGCUGCGAAUCACUUCAUUCUAAUCCAGAAAUAGCAUAUUAUCCCGAACGUAAAUAAUAGGAGUAAUAGCAUAAAAAGGAAGGAAAAAAAAACAUAUUUUCUCCCGAUGGAAGCGUAAGUUUCUUCAAUAGGCUUUGUCCAUUGCAGAAGUGUUCCACCAGCGUCCAACAAUAAUGCAUCAUAUGCUUUUUUAACAUACUUUAUUGCUCCUGUAAUGUAAUGAAACAAAGUGAACGAAUCUGAUCUAUUGAAAUAGUGUACGCAUUUAUAUAUAUGUACUAAUAAAUAAAUAAAUAAAUAAAGCACUAAGUAGAAAGGAAAAGUGACCAGACCAGCAGAGUGGAUGGCAAUGGAAGAAGAGCUUGAUAGCUUCAAUUUGAUAGGUUUCAGAGCUUUAAGCAAAUAGUUCCCAUGACAUUGGCCAAACGGGAAAUGGAGAUUUAGGAAUGGAAUUGAGCAAAAUAAAAGAAAGAUAUACCUUUAAAGAUUGCUAGAUACCUUUGUUUUUUCUCGAGACUUUGAACCUUAAAACUGGAGAAGACAAGAAACCAGAGAAGGGGAGAUGCGAGAACUGAGAUAGAGAGAAAACCUGGAGGAGGGCGGCGGCUGGGUUUGACUUGGCCUUUAGAGUUAGAAGAAAAGUUUAUAUUUAUACUGUUUUUCUUUCAGUGGUGGUUUUCUUGCUCACCCCUAAUUACCAUGUCGUGGAACAAAUUAGGAUAAGAGUUGUAUUGAUCUCAAAUAAGCUGAUGCCGUCGUACCAGAGAGCUCAUGAAGAAAAAAAUUGAGGAGUUCCAGUGAAGAUGAUACGCAGAAUAAUCUUGAAUUUAGAACAGUACUAGUUGGCAAAGAAGGAACAAAACUGAAAUGCAUGGUAAAUGAUUUAAAAUUGUGAGAAAGAAAUCGGGAUUCAAUGAUUUUGUUUUGAAUUUGAUGUUCUUAAUUCCUUUCUUCUUCCCCCGUGUCUCCAACCCAACGGUGUCUUGUUUCUGAGUAUGAAAGCAGGAUUCAAUGAUUUUGCUUUGAAUUUGCUGUAAUCAAAGCAAAAGAGGAACUGCUGGCUUGCCCUGAAACUAAGAAACUAAAACACGACAGCAUUUUGGAGAAUGGUGAAGCUGUUUGUGUGAAAUAGGUUAAGACUCAUUGUCCAGUGAGGACUUCAACAUUUGGCAAAUGAAUAUCACUUCGAGGAUAGAACAGAUACGAGGAAUAAAGCUAAAAACCGCAACUUUGCUUGACUUUUUCAUAUCUUCAAUCAUUUUUUCUUGGAACUCCACUAACAAUUGAAAAUGGCCAAAAUGCAUGAAUGAGGCCUUGAUACUGUGUUUGUCUCAUCUCUUUGUCGAUGCUUUAUUCUUGUCUGUACAUGUGAUUUAACAGGUAGACUAAAGCUCCUUUCUCCAAUGUAUUCCAUUCCUUAAGAUGCCAUUGAAGUCUUCCAUUCAUUUAUGAUUCCUUCUUCAUAUUCCUUAAUCAAUGGUGUUAGAUAUUGUUCUCAGCUUUUCUUACGAUGGUUAUUGACAAUUUAUCAUAAGGAGAUCUAAUGGCUGAAAAGCAAGUAACCAAGGAUGGAUAAUUAUUCUACACGCUACUAUAAAUUGAUCUAAAGGUCUUCAGACAGUAACCCUUUCCCCGAUUUCUUCUGUUCAUCUUUUACGACCACUAAUCAUUGCAUGCCUUGCUAGUUGUAUGAUCAAACAAUUGCUGGCCAGGUUACGUACUUUCUUGUGAUCCUUUUGAGUAUUCUCUUUCGCAAUCACUUGAACAUAUUGCUGGCCAUGCCGUUUCUCUUCGAGUUCAGAGAUCUCAGAUUAGAUUCUUCCAAUUUAACUUUCUUUUGCUUUUGGGUUUAUCUUUUAUGACUUCUCAUUGCUGCGUGACAUAUUUCUUGUGGAAUCUUUAAGUGUUGUGUGCAUUAGCAGAAAAUAAAAGGAAAAAAAUAAUCUUGACACGAUCCCAACGAAGAAGAGUUGAUUGCAAGAUUGUGGUCUGGGAAAAAAACUGAUUUCUUAAGCAAUAACGAUCUCAAAUUAACUUGCCUAAUUAUUGUAAUGCUAUCCGAUUGUAAUUCGCUGUGGUGAAGCUAUGCUUUCAUGCAUCAAAUUUUAUGCCAUUUGAUCACAGAGCAUACCGCUUGAUAGGCUAUGAACUCUAGAUUAAUAAAGUUCAGCAAUAUUCUUGCUCUGGUAGUCUAGGUCUACUUUAGCCAUGGAGACAAUAUAGUUGUGAAGUAAAUGAUUAGAAAGAUGAGAGAAGCAGAGUACUACACUAAUUAUAAGACUUCAUUAAAACCACACCAGAGGCCACAGACAUGGCCAAUACAUAACAAUGAAGAAGACACAAAGAUAAAGACACUCACGGACACUUUUGUUUGUUCACUCCACACCCACAAGUACAGAAGAACACAGAUUAUUUAUCAGAAAUUACAUUAUUAAUCCACUCCCAAUCCCACAUCAAACAUGAUAGUUGAUGUGCUUGCUUAAUGACCGCAUGUGCAGGUAGUGCAAGUGCAGCCAGUACCGCAGUUGCACUUGCCAUCGUUCUCAGCUGCUGGCACCUCCAUGACUACGGAGGAGACAUAGCUGCAAAAAGAAUUAGACUCCAUUGUAUUAGCAUCGUGUUCCCAUUUCCUUCAUUAUCAAUCUUAACUGACGAACCAAAAAUGUUUAGGAAUAAAGCAAUAUAUAUUAUUCAUUCUGCUUAUUAAUCAUCAGUGCAUGCUGAAGCUUCAAUCAUGUCUCUCAACGCUAAUUAAGACUACGACAACAGGACUUUAAAGAUAGAGAUGCGAAAGUUACUUCUUCUCAGUCUCGACGAUGCCAGCAGUGUAGCUGCUUCCCUUCUUGCUGCAAAUUAAUCACAAAUUGCAUGGCAUGAGAGAGCAGAUAGCAUAAUGUAUGCACGAAAGCCAUGCAGAAACAUGAACUACCUACUAUACAGCUUGCACAACAUAUAUAAACCAUAAACAAGCAAGAGCUGCUUAAUCAGGUUUGCAAAAGAAGGGGAAAAAAAGAAGAAGAAUUCUUACACACACUGGGUCUUGUCAGCGCAGUCGCAGGUGUCGCAGGUGCUAGACAUGAUGAUUGAUUGAUUAAGCUUAAAUGGAUGAACUAAAAGACUUGGAGUAUGAAUGUGUUCUCUGUGUAGCUUAAUGAGUUGUUAUAUCUUCAAGCCCUGCUCUAUUUAUAGAAGGAGAGAGCGCAUCAGUAAUGGCUGCGAUGAAGAGGAAGGGCAAUUGUGGGACCCUCUUAAGGCAUGAGAGAAGCACACUCUUCUCGAGGAAACGUCCGAAGGAAUCUUGA